GCGGAAUGAUGAUGGAGGGAGGGUGGUGUGCUGGUGGUUGGGCUGGCCGAUGUCCUACUACUGAAAUGUGUACACACACUGUCACGGAGAGACAGACGUAUACGACGCCCGUGCGCAGACACAGUUCACCCACUACGCGCGCGCGCACCGGGAACGGAAUGAGGCGGUAGUGCGCCGUGGAUCUUUGUAGCCCCCGCCUCCGGGUUGACGACGGGCGGCCAGGUGUCUACGCUCCGCUGAAAAGUGAAAACCCCAUCCCAGCCCCGCGCUUCUCGCGUGGCGCCGCUGGUCGAUGACGUGCGGGGCCGGGCGCGGCUGUGAGUGGUGGGACUGUGCGACAGUCGGGGAGGAAACCGCCAGCGGCAGGGGCCACCGCCGGUUUACACUUUUGGUGGCUGUGGAAGCAAGGAAUCGCUGCUGCUUUUUUUCCGUUUGUUUUGUUUGUUCCCUUCCCGCCCGUGCCGCGUUGGGCGCGACGGCAUCGUCCUACUCGUUCGUGUGACACGGACGGCCGGUUCCGAGCUCCGCUCCGCGUGGUGGGCGUGAAGGGCCUGGUUUCCGGCCAUAUUUUCCCAAACCAAAAUUUGACAGCAACAGUUUAGUUGGCAUAUGUUUGUUUUUGUCAUACUUUAACUUGCCAUAUUUUAUUGUUGCUAUGACCCAUUUGUCAUAGAAUCAUUUUUUUUGCCAACUUUUGCUAAUGUUUGGCGUUCGUUUUUUCAGCCACACUUUAAUAAUUUGCCACACUUUGAUUUGAUAAAAUUAGUCUCCAACCAAACAUGCCCGAAAUCUGCGCCGUGGUGUUGCUUUUUCCCGGGGGAGCAGUCGGUCAGUCGAGCAGCGCGCGCAGGAGAGGACAGACAGCGGUGCGCAGCUGGACGCGAGGUGGACGCUUUGCACGCCUCGUGCUACUGUAAUGAUAAUAACCGCUCCGGGGUCAAAAGGGAUCAUCGCGGGGGCGCUCAGGUGCGCGUGUUGUGGUUGUGAGGAGAGAUCUGUGAAAGCCGAAAGUGUCACCAGGAAAAAGUUACGGCAGGAGCUGGGGCGGCCACGAUGUGUGGCGCCGUGGCAACCCUAGCGUGACCGGCGCUGGCUGUUUUCAUUUUUAUUAUCGGCGGUUCUUUUGUUAACCACACGACAUGAUGCUUUUUCUGAAACGCAUGGGCAAGGCCGGUUCUAAGAUUUGGGCGAACUAAAAUUUGGGGCCUUAAGCGCACUAGUAAGCUUGUACGUACAACACACGAUAGGAUAAUAGAAAAAGAAAAUCACAUUCAUUUAUAUAAACUUAUGAACCAACAAAAAACAUCAUAUAUAAAUUUGCAGAUGCAAGAUUUAACCGAAUGGUUGUUUUAAGUAAGAUUUAUGAACCUCUAAGGUUGCAAAUUGCAGACAGAAACAUCUGAUCAUUGUAAUAGAUGCUUGAUCAUCCAAAAAUUAAUAGUCAAAAUGAGUUGUAAUCAUCUAAACAUUAUAUAAAAGUAUAUUCAUGUGAAGCAAGUUGAUUACAUAAGUACAAUGUUUCAUUAACUAUCAAAAAAGUACAAUAUUCAAUUCACGAAAUCCUUAAGUAUGCAAACACACAAAUAUCAAGUAUAUCCACAUAACAUCACAAAAACAAGUAUUUUUGUACUAUGUCUUAAAGGAAGUAUUUUUAUGAAAUUGUUUACUAAAGGAAAAAAGAUUGGUAGUUCAGUUUAGAAACAAGAAGUCUUUUUGUUAUAUGUGUGUGUGUUGUGUUGUGUGGCUCCACUGAAUAUUCAGUAGUAAAUACGCAUUAUGAAAUAAAUCAUGUACUGAAAAAGAUAUCACAAUUAAUUAUUUAACUUUUCCACUUGUGUAUCGAUUGAAAUGAUGCUACAAAGAUUAGUUGUAACCAGUAGGUCUACCUCUUGUUUUCUCAAAACUUAUAUAUAAUAAAACUGGGGAUGAGUGAACACUUCCGGUAACUAAACUAUAGCAUUCCCGAGAUGGCCACCGCCAUGGCUUGCCCGCAAGCUUCAUCCAUUUCGCUUCCCCAAAUCUCCUGACCAAAGUGCUCCUUAGCUCAGAAGAGCUAUGGCGCAAUGCUACCACCUUUAGUUUGGGUGAGGUCUCAUGUGCGUAUCCUGGUCCUGUUUUAAUGUUAUGACCAAAACAUAUCAUCUUCACUUCAAGUUGAUGCCAUCUCUAAAAUUAUCUAUGGGAUUCUUCAGAAUUUCAAAUCUAGUCAUGACUUGGUAUGAGCAUCACAUGGUAUUCUCUGAGAUGGCAAUUUCAGUAGAGAUACUUAUGAACAAACAUGAUAAAUUACCUUCUCUACAAACCAACCCAAAAUAUUUCUCCAACUCCACAAUGGCUAUCGCUGGUGCUCCAUUGGUAACCUCACCCAAGAUAAUUGAAUAGUAAAAUUACUUCCAAGUAGCUGAGAACUGAAACAUUGGAUAGAAAUAAUGAAUAAUAUAUAUGGAUUCAGGUACUUCAAAAUAAUAUAUGGAUUUAAUUACACAUGAUCAUUCAAGCUAGCUUUCUAGAGAUUGUUUAGAAAAUCAUUAUUCAAAACAGUACAAAGAAUUGUAUAUUUUUUUUACAAAACGCAUGAUGUGCGACAUUCAUACAAAGUUUGACCAUAUACUUUAAGCAUGUUCAAGGUAUAUUUGUCCAGAUAUGAGGUUUACAUUAAUGAUUAUAAACUAAAACCUACUAUUCUGCUUUAACACAACUCAUCAGAAGGAUGACUACAACAACUGGAUCAUGGGAAAUUAGGAGCUUGAUGAUGUACACACAUACUGCUCGUAGGGUUAUUGUUCAUGCACAUCUUUAGCGGCCGAAGAGACAAGAGGCCUCCACCACCGGCGUGGCUCCGUGAGGCCAUCACAUGUGACAUUGCUGUUGCUGGAAUGUGAUCCUAGCGACAAAGGGUUUGUGGGUAGGAGGGGGCGCUGAUGCCAUACCUACGUUGAUACUUCACAAACCAAAAAUUACAUGUUAUUACAACAUAUGAAAACAUAAUGAAGGAAAGAGGAACAUAAAAAAGCAUAAGAUUCAAAUUCACAUCAACAAUUGUAAGAAAGCGGGUGACACCGAGUGACUGAAACAUGUGCCGAUUAAUCUCAAUGCAAAAUAAAUACGGGGCAAUGUAAAUGACUGUUAGAUAUCGAGUUUGAUGAAUAUGAAAAAAAAAUUGUCAGCUGAUUUGAGAAAUAACAAAUAACAUAAUUACAAGCAUCAUUUUUGUGUUGUAAUUUAUACUAAAAUUGGCUUAGAAAUGAUUGAUUACACAAGCUAGUAUGUCAUAACUGAACACAUGAAUAAUAUAGUGCUCAACGUUGACAACAACCAUCAAAAUCACAACCCUCGCCACCAGUCCUACCAAAGGCAAGGUAUAUAUUGCAGACUUUCAUAUUGGAAAGAAUAGUAUCAAAAUGUCAUCACAACAUUGAAUUGCAAACUAUCUUGAUGGCUUAGCUAAAAAGAGAAGAAAUGUAGAAGGAGUGCUUCACCUGAAUAAGCAGUUGGAAGUUUGAAAGAUGUGAUGAACAGUGAACAAAAAAUUAUCUCCAUCGUCUAGCACACCAUCGCCUCUUGGAAUUAAAAAAUACAUGUUUUCAUGUCCAUCCCACUUUCAUUAGGUCAUAAGUUGUUGCAAUAUAGAUAUGCAUGUACCUCAAAGUAUUUCAUGUGUGCGUUGGCUACUGCGCAUCCAGCCGAAAUAGUUCAUGGCAGCCAACGAUCUGUCUUUGUGUAGGAAAUGAUAACAUUCGCUGCAACAGAGUUUCUACCUGAAGAUAUUGUUAGGACAUGUUCCAGAAAAUUUGUCUCAUGAGUAUUGUUAGAACCACUAUGUGGAUAAUAAAGGCAGAUAACAUACUUGUUCAAGUAAACAUCUGCAGUAUAUCCAAAUCAUUGUACAAAUACGAUAAAUUAUUCGUGGGCCGUCACAUAUGGGUGAAGUUUCUUCCAGCCUACAAAUCAUACCUCUGCGUUCAAGCCAAAAAUCAUAUUUGAUGAAAUACCAUCCCAUGCAUUCUAAAUUCCCAAAGGAUUAAAAAUUACAAUUAUGAAGGAAUGAUGACACAAUUCGAAGGGUAGCAGCAGUAAUGCAAUCUUUUGAUGGUACCUAUCAGCACGAACCCAAACCCACAGGGUGAUAUGAUUCUAUCAUCUUUUAUAUUUUACUCUGAAUCCUAUCCGCAGCCACACAAACCCAAAGGAUGAUACACACAAGAUUCGUAAUUGUGUAGAGAAAGGAAACAUUUGUGAACCUGAAAAUUUCCCCUUCCACGCCGCGUGAGGGUUUCGUCGUCGAAACAGGCACAGGGCCCGCCCGCGAGUGCAUGGCAGUGAGCCUCCUGGCCAAUGACGUGUCGGACCUCUUCAUCGGCAAGCCGGCCAUGAGGUCCCUCCCGCUCUCCGCGGCCGCCGGCGACCUCGCUGCCACGGUCCGCACAGGGCCCUGCGCCGCCGCCGCCGUCGGCCCGGCGCGCGGCGCCAUCAUGGGACGUGCCGGCCUCGCCGACGUCCUCUGCCUCCUCUACUCCUUGCCCGACGCGCUCGCGCGCCCUGCCGCCGCACUCGACCGGCCCAUCUCCGCGCUCCUCCCUAAGGACGGCGCCGGCGAGGUCCGCCGCGUAGAUCCCCGUUCAAGGUACUCCUCCUCCCCCUCUUGGCACGUUUUUUUUACGGUGAUUACUUUUUUGUGGAAACGGACGCGUUGGUCUUUGCGGACGCCUUUUUUCCUGCAACUAUCGCGCAAUGGGAGGGGCUGCGGAUGCGUGAUUUUCCUCUUGGUGGAGUACGGUCAGCCAAGAUAAAUUGCUAAACGUACACCAGACUGUGAUUAGAUUAAUGAUAACGGUUAGAUUUCGAUUUAUCGGACUAAUCCUGUGGUGCUGGUUGGUUGUGGGUCAAUUUAUUGGGUGCACUUAAGAAAGUUCUUGUUUGCUUGUUUAAUAGUAGUAUAGAUGUAUACCGGGUAGGCCGAGGAGUGCUGCCCCACAGGUUCGGGUGGUGUUUCAAAUAUGUCACGGGAUGUUCUGCAGGAGGUAGCCUCUUGAACAGAAAAAGUAAAAAAGAUGAAAAAAUAUGAGAGCAAAAGAUUAUGACAUUGGGACCCAUAAUAUAGAAGAGAUAAACUUUUCACGAUGGGACUGAAAAAGUUAUUUUCCCGUGUCUAGCUGGAUGCAUCGGGGGUGGCACCUACCGCCGCCCCUAGUGCUCAUGCCCUAAGAACAACUUCAACUCGACAACCCAUUUCGUUUGUAGCUGUCCCAGGGACGGAGCCAACAUUCAUGCAUAGAGGAGGCAAGUUUGUUCAUGAAGGGGGCAAAGUUCAUAUGAAAUGAAUUUUUUUGCUUACAACAAUCACAAUCAUAUUAGAAGACUCAAUUUGUUAGGGGGGGGGGGCUCGCCCCCCUAAAUUCGCACCUGAGCUGUCCGUUUGAGUUCGCGUGAACAGAAGUGAUUGUCCAACACACGGAAUCACUACCAAAACGCAUCCGUGCCGAUCCAUUUCCGGCUCAAAUUUGGGAUUUAAAUACGUCGGCCCGGACGCGAAGCAGACGCGCGCGCCCUCUCGGUGUCCGCCAGUUCACACUCGUCGAUCGUCCAACUACCCGCGGUCAACUUAAUUAAUGAAGGCCGUCCUUCACGGGCCCAUGCGUCAGCGACCGCAGUCGGCCUUUUUUAAUCCGAGCGUGCGGUGGGGUUCGGCCUCAUCUGCUUCCAUACACGUGUCCCCAUCUCGCCACCUUUCUGCUCCCUCGUCGGGGACCAAACCCUAGCCAACACCCAUGGCAAGCUUCACCGCCCAAAACAAGGAUAAGUCCCCCGCCGUCCAUCCCCGUGCGCUCAACCCGCGGGCGUAUUCCCGCCAGCCUCGCCAGCCGAUCAGCGUCCCGGUGCACCAAGCAGGGCUCUAGAUGCACUUAUAGAGGGGGACUAGGAUUGCACCUCCUCCCCCCUUGGUUGAGCCCUAGGGCUUGAAGGGAUGUUCUUCAUGACCCUCCACCUAUAUAUAGAGAGGGGAGGGGCCGCCCCAAGAGGACACACGAAGCCCUUGGCGCCCCUCUCUCUCCCUAGAUCGUUUUCUCCUCCGUUUGCGGUUUCGGUAGCGCUAUGCAUAGCCCUGCCAAGAUAGCACCACCACAACCGCCACCAUGCUGUCAUGUUGCGAGAGAACUCAUCUACUGCUCCGCCCUCGCUCACUGGAUCGAGGAGGCGGAGACUGUUGGAAAUAUGCCCUAGAGGCAACAAUAAAAUGGUUAUUAUCAUAUUUCCUUGUUCAUGAUAAUCGUGUAUUGUUCAUGCUAUAAUUGUAUUAACAGGAAACAGUAAUACAUGUGUGAAUAAAUAGAUCACAACGUGUCCAUAGCAAGCCUCUAGUUGGCUAGCUCGUUAAUCAAUAGAUGAUCAUGGUNNNNNNNNNNUGGUAUCAGAGCCAGGUUUUCUAUGCAUAGAUUCUAUGCACGAGUAGAACACAAAAGGUUGUGGGCGAUGAUUUGUCAAUUGCUUGCCGCUACUAGUCUUAUUCUUUUCCGGCAGUAUUUGGGAUGAAGCGGCCUGGACCGACUUUACACGUACGCUUACGUGAGACUGGUUCCACCGACACACAUGCACACCGUGCAUAAAGGUGGCUAGCGUGUGUCUGUCUCUCCUACUCUAGUCGGAUUGGAUUUGAUGAAAAAGGUCCUUAUGAAGGGUAAAUAGCUUUGGCAUAUCAUUGUUGUGGCUGUCACGUAGGUAAGAAGGCGUUCUUGCUAGAAACCCAAAUCAGCCACGUAAAAUUUGCAACAACAAUUAGAGGACGUCUAACUUGUUUUUGCAGGGUUUGACAUGUGGUGUGAUAUGGCCAAAGUUGUGAUGUUGCAUGUAUGAUGUAUGAGAUGAUCAUGUUAUUGUAAUAGGUUUGACGACUUGCAUGUCGAUGAGUAAGACAACCGGCAGGAGCCAUAGGAGUUGUCUUAAUUUAUUGUAUGAGAUGCAACGCCAUGUGCUUACUACUUUUACUUCAUUGCUAACGGCUAGCUAUAGUAGUGGUGAUAGUAGUAGUUGGCGUGACGACUUCACGGAGACACGAUGAUGGAGAUCAUGAUGAUGUAGAUCAUGAUGAUGGAGAUCAUGGUGUCACGCCGGUGACAAUGAUGAUCAUGCGAUGCCUGAAGAUGGAGAUCGAAAGAGCAAAGGUGAUAAUGGCCAUAUCAUGUCACUAUAUGAUUGCAUUAUGAUGUUUAUCAUGUUUUCAUCUUAUUGCUUAGAAUGACGGUAGCAUAAUAAGAUGAGCCCUCUUAAAAUUUCGAGAACGUAUUCCCCUAAGUGUGCACCGUUGCGAAGGAUCGUUGUCUCGAAGCACCACGUGAUGAUCGGGUGUGAUAGAUUCUAACGUUCGCAUACAACGGGUGUAAGCCAGAUUUACACACGCGAAACACCUAGGUUGACUCGACGAGCUUAGCAUGUACAGACAUGACCUCGAAUAGAAGAGACCGAAAGGUCGAACAUGAGUCGUAUGGUUGAAUACGAUCAGCAUGAAGUUGCUCACCAUGGUGACUAGUCCGUCUCACGUGAUGAUCGGACACGGGUUAGUCAACAUGGAUCAUGUAUCACUUAGAUGACUAGAGGGAUGUAGAUUUAAGUGGGAGUUCAUACUUAAUUUGAUUAAAUGAACUUAAUUUUCAUGAACUUAGUCUAAAAGUUGUCUUUAUAAAUAUUGUAGAUGGCCAACGUCAACCUCAAUUUCAACGCAUUCCUAGAGAAAAACAAGCUGAAAGAUGAUGGUAGCAACUAUGCGGACUGGGUUCGCAACUUGAAGCUCAUCCUUGAAGCAGCUAAAAAGGCUUAUCUCCUUGAUGCACCGCUAGGUGACCCUCCCGCUCCCACAGCAGCCCAGUACAUUCUGAACGCCUGGCAAACACGGAGUGAUGACUACUCUCUGGUUAGGUGUGGCAUGCUAUAUAGUUUAGAAACGGGGCUCUAAAGGCGUUUUGAGCAACACGGUGCAUAUGCGAUGUUCCAAUAGCUGAAGCUAUUUUUUCAAGCUCAUGCCCGUGUCGAGAGAUAUGAAGUCUCCGACAAGUUCUUUAGCUGUAAGAUGGAGGAGAAUAAUUCUGUCAGUGAGCACAUACUCAAAAUGUCUGGGUUACACGGUCGUCUGACUUCACUUGGAGUCGAACUUCCGGAUGAUGCUAUAAUUGACAGAAUCCUCCAGUCUCUCCCACCAAGCUACAAAGGUUUUAUGCUGAACUACAACAUGCAAGGGAUGGAGAAGACCAUUCCCGAGUUGUACUCGAUGCUCAAGUUUGCAGAAGUAGAAAUCAAGAAAGAGCAUCAAGUGUUGAUGGUCAACAAGACCACUAGUUUCAAGAAGGGCAAGAGUAAGAAGAACUUCAAGGAAGACGGCAAAGCCGUUGCCGCGCCCGGUAAGCCAGAUGCCGGAAAGAAGAAAAAGAAUGGACCCAAGCCUGAGACUGAGUGCUUCUAUUGCAAGGGAAAGGGUCACUGGAAGCGGAACUGCCCCAAAUACUUAGCGGACAAGAAGGCCGGCAACGUUAAAGGUAUAUGUGAUAUACAUGUUAUUGAUGUGUACCUUACCAGCGCUCGUAGUAGCUCCUGGGUAUUUGAUACCGGUGCUGUUGCUCACAUUUGCAACUCAAAACAGGAACUGCGGAAUAAGCGGAGAUAGGCCAAGGAUGAGGUGACGAUGCGCGUCGGGAAUGGCUCCAAGGUCGAUGUGAUCGCCGUCGGCACGCUACCUCUAUGUCUACCGUCAGGAUUAGUUUUAAACCUUAAUAAUUGUUAUUUAGUACCAACUUUGAGCAUGAAUAUUGUAUCAGGGUCUUGUUUAAUGCGAGGCGGCUACUCAUUCAAGUCAGAGAAUAAUGGUUGUUCUAUUUAUAUGAGUGAUAUGUUUUAUGGUCAUGCUCCGCUGGUGAAUGGUUUAUUCUUGAUGAAUCUCGAUCGUGAUGUUACGCAUAUUCAUAGUGUGAGUACUAAAAUAUGUAAAGUUGAUAAUGAUAGUCCCACAUACUUGUGGCACUGCCGCCUUCGUCAAAUCGGCGUAAAGCGCAUGAAGAAGCUCCAUACUGAUGGACUAUUAGAGUCUCUUGACUUUGAAUCAUUUGACACAUGCGAACCGUGCCUCAUAGGCAAGAUGACUAAGACUCCAUUCUCGGGAAUAAUGGAGAGAGCAACCGACUUAUUGGAAAUAAUACAUACUGAUGUGUGUGGUCCAAUGAACGUUGAAGCUCGCGGUGGCUAUCGUUAUGUUCUCACUCUCACCGAUGAUUUGAGUAGGUAUGAGUAUAUCUACUUAAUGAAGCACAAAUCUGAGACAUUUGAAAAGUUCAAGGAAUUUCAGAAUGAGGUCGUGAAUCAACGUGACAGAAAAAUUAAGUGUCUACGAUCUGAUCGUGGAGAAUAAUAUUUGAGUCACGAGUUUGGCACACACCUAAGGAAGUGUGGAAUCGUUUCACAACUGACGCCGCCUGGCACACCGCAACACAACGGAGUGUCUGAACAUCGUAAUCACACUUUAUUAGAUAUGGUACGAUCUAUGAUGUCUCUUACCAACUUACCGCUAUCAUUUUGGGGAUAUGCAUUAGAAACUGCAGCGUUCACUUUAAAUAGGGCACCAUCUAAAUCCGUUGAGACGACACCGUAUAAACUAUGGUUUGGCAGGAAACGUAAGUUGUCGUUUCUUAAAGUUUGGGGCUGCGAUGCUUAUGUGAAGAAACUUCAACCAGAAAAGCUCGAACCCAAAGCGGAGAAAUGCGUAUUCAUAGGAUACCCUAAGGAAACUAUUGGGUAUACCUUAUAUCUUAGAUCCGAAGGUAAAACCUUUGUUGCCAAGAACGGAUCCUUUCUAGAGAAAGAGUUUCUCUCGAAAGAAGUAAGUGGGAGGAAGGUAGAACUUGAUGAGGUAAUUACACCCCCUCUCGAACAGGAUAGUAGCGCAACGCGGGAAGUUGUUCCUGUGGCGCCUACACCAACUGAAGAGGAAGUUAAUGAUAAUGAUCAUGAAGCUUCGGAUCAAGUUACUAUUGAACCUCGAAGGUCCACAAGGGUACGCUCCGCACCAGAGUGGUACGGCAACCCUGUAAUGGAAAUUAUGUUGUUAGACAACGAUGAACCUUCGAACUAUGAAGAAGCGAUGGCGGGCCCGGGUUCCAACGAAUGGCUUGAAGCUAUGAAAUCUGAGAUAGGAUCCAUGUAUGAGAAUAAAGUAUGGACUUUGGUGGACUUGACCGAUGACCGGCGAGCCAUAGAAAAUAAAUGGAUCUUCAAGAAGAAGACUGAUGCAAACGGUAAUGUGACCGUUUAUAAAGCUCAACUUGUCGCAAAGGGUUUUCGACAAAUUCAAGGAAUUGACUACGAAGAGACUUUCUCUCCCGUAGCGAAGCUGAAAUCAGUCUGAAUCAUGUUAGCAAUUGCUGCGUUUUAUGAUUAUGAAAUUUGGCAAAUGGACGUCAAAACAGCGUUCCUUAACGGGAACCUUAAGGAAGAGUUGUAUUUGAUGCAACCAGAAGGUUUUGUCGACCCUAAGGGUGCUAACAAAGCGUGCAAGCUCCAGCGCUCCAUCUAUGGGCUGGUGCAAGCAUCUCGGAGUUGGAACAUUCGCUUUAAUGAGGUGAUUAAAGCGUUUGGGUUCAUACAGGUUUACGGAGAAGCCUGUCUCUACAAGAAAGUGAGUGGGAGCUCUGUAGCUUUCCUCAUACUGUACGUGGAUGACAUAUUAUUGAUGGGGAAUAGUAUAGAGAUGUUGGAGAGCAUAAAGGCCUAUUUGAACAAGAGUUUUUCAAUGAAGGACCUUGGAGAAGCUGCAUACAUAUUAGGCAUCAAGAUCUAUAAGAUAGAUCGAGACGCCUCAUAGGUCUUUCGUAAAGUACAUACCUUGACAAGAUAUUGAAGAAGUUCAAUAUGGAAAACUCAAAGAAAGGGUUCUUGCCAGUUUUGCAAGGUAUGAGAUUGAGUAAGACUCAGUCGUCGACCACGACAGCAGAUAGAGAGAAGAUGAGUUCUGUCCCCUACGCUUCAGCCGUAGGCUCUCUUAUGUAUGCCAUGCUGUGUACCAGACCUUAUAUAAACCUUGCCAUAAGUUUGGUAGGGAGGUACCAAAGUGAUCCCGGUAUGGAACACUGGACAACGGUCAAGAAUAUCCUUAAGUAUCUGAAAAGGACUAAGGAAAUGUUUCUCGUUUAUGGAGGUGACGAAGAGCUCGUCGUAAAGGGUUACGUCGAUGCUAGGUUCGACACAGAUCCGGAUGACUCUAAGUCACAAACUGGAUACGUAUAUGUUUUGAAUGGUGGGGUAAUGAGCUGGUGCAGCAGCAAGCAAGAAGUCAUGGCAGCAUCUACAUGCGAAGCGGAGUACAUAGCUGCUUCAGAAGCAGCUCAUGAAGGAAUUUGGAUGAAGGAGCUCAUCACCGACCUUGGAGUGAUUCCAAGCACGUCGGGUCCAAUGACACUCUUCUGUGAUAACACUCGGGCCAUUUCCAUAGCCAAGGAGCCCAGGUUUCACCGAAAGACGAAGAGCAUCAAACGCCGCUACAACUCCAUCCAGGACCAUGUCCAGAGUGGAGUAAUAGAGAUUUGUAAAGUACACAUGGAUCUGAAUGUUGCAGACCCGUUGACUAAACUUCUUCCACGAGCAAAACAUGAUCAACACCAUGAUGCUAUGGGUGUUCGAUACAUCACAAUGUAACUAGAUUAUUGACUCUAGUGCAAGUGGGAUACUGUUGGAUAUAUGCCCUAGAGGCAAUAAUAAAAUGGUUAUUAUCAUAUUUCCUUGUUCAUGAUAAUCGUCUAUUGUUCAUGCUAUAAUUGUAUUAACAGGAAACAGUAAUAAAUGUGUGAAUAAAUAGAUCACAAUGUGUCCCUAGCAAGCCUCUAGUUGGCUAGCUCGUUAGUCAAUAGAUGAUCAUGGUUUCCUGGUCAUGGGCAUUAGAUGUCAUUGAUAACGGGAUCACAUCAUUGGGAGAAUGAUGUGAUGGACAAGACCCAAUCCUAAGCAUAGCACUAGAUCGUAUUGUUCGUAUACUAAAGCUUUUCUAAUGUGAAGUGUCUUUUCCUUCGACCGUGAUAUUGUGCAACUCCCUGAUACCGUAGGAGUGCUUUGGGUGUAUCAAACGUCACAACGUANNNNNNNNNNGCAUUGAUAACGGGAUCACAUCAUCGGGAGAAUGAUGUGAUGGACAAGACCCAAUCCUAAGCAUAGCACUAGAUCGUAUUGUUUGUAUGCUAAAGCUUUUCUAAUGUGAAGUGUCUUUUCCUUCGACCGUGAGAUUGUGCAACUCCCGGAUACCGUNNNNNNNNNNACACUGAUAACGGGAUCACAUCAUUGGGAGAAUGAUGUGAUGGACAAGACUCAAUCCUAAGCAUAGCACUAGAUCGUAUUGUUCAUAUGCUAAAGCUUUUCUAAUGUCAAGUGUCUUUUCCUUCGACCGUGAGAUUGUGCAACUCCCGGAUACCGUAGGAGUGCUUUGGGUGUAUCAAACGUCACAACGUAACUGGGUGACUAUAAAGGUGCACUACGGGUAUCUCUGAAAGUGUCUGUUGGGUUGGUACGAAUCGAGAUCGGGAUUUGUCACUCCGUGUGACGGAGAGGUAUCUCUGGGCCCACUCGGUAGAACAUCAUNNNNNNNNNNCAGGGAGGUAUCUCUGGACCCACUCGGUAGAACAUCAUCAUGAGCUCAAUGUGACUAAGGAGUUAGUCACACGAUGACGUGUUAUAGAACGAGUAAAGAGACUUACCGGUAACGAGAUUGAACAAGGUAUAGGUAUACCNNNNNNNNNNCCUCCGAAAGUGUCUGUUGGGUUGGUACAAAUCGAGAUCGGGAUUUGUCACUCCGUGUGAAGGAGAGGUAUCUCUGGGCCCACUCGAUAGAACGUCAUCAUGAGCUCAAUGUGACUAAGGAGUUAGUCACACGAUGACGUGCUAUGGAACAAGUAAAGAGACUUACCGGUAACGAGAUUGAACAAGGUAUAGGUAUACCGACGAUCGAAUCUCGGGCAAGUUCUAUACCGACAGACAAAGGGAAUUGUAUACGGGAUUGAUUGAAUCCUUGACAUCGUGGUUCAUCUGAUGAGAUCAUCGUGGCGCAAGUGGGAGCCACCAUGGGUAUCCAGACCCCGCUGAUGGUUAUUGGCCGGAGAGGUGUCUCGAUCAUGUCUGCCUGUCUCCCGAGCCCGUAGGGUCUACAUACUUAAGGUUCGAUGACGCUAGGGUUAUAGGGAAUUGUUAUACGAGGUUAUCGGAAGUUGUUCGGUGUCCCGGAUGAGAUCCCGGACGUCACGAGGAGCUCCAGAAUGGUACGGAGGUAAAGAUUGAUAUAUAGGACAGAUGGUUUCGGACACCGGAAGUAUUUCGGGCGUCGUCGAUAACGUACCGGGACCACCGGGAGUGGCCCCCGGGGUCCACCGGAAGGGGGCAACGACCCCGGGAGGCUAGAUGGGCCAAGUGAGGGAGGGAACAAGCCCCUAGGUGUGCUGGUGCAUCCCCACACUCAGCCCAUGGCGCAAGAAGAGGGGAGAAGGGGGGGNNNNNNNNNNCGCCACCCCUCCUUCUCCUCCUGGCCGCCGCACCUCCCCCCAUCUAGGGCUUCUGCCCCUCCCAGAAGAGGGAAACCCUCAAGGGGGCGCAACCCCUCCCCCCCCCUACAUAUAGUGGGCACUUUGGGCUGUUGGAGAAACCAAUCUUCCUCUCCCUCGGCGCAGCCUUGCUCUUCUUUCUCCUCCUCUCUGCCGGUGCUUGGCGAAGCCCUGCCGGGAGACCUCGUAUCUCCAUCGACACCACGCCGUCGUAUUGCUGGAGAUCUUCCCCAACCUCUCCCUCCUCCUUGCUGGAUCAAGGUGCGGGAGACGUCACCGGGCUGCACGUGUGUUGAACGCGGAGGUGCCGUAGUUCGGCACUAGAUCAGAAUCACACUGCAAUCUGAAUCGCUGCGAGUACGUCUCCAUCAACCGCGUUCUAGUAACGCUUCCGCUUAGCGAUCUUCAAAGGUAUGAAGAUGCACUCACCCCUCUCUCGUUGCUGGUCUCUCCAUAGGAAGAUCUGAAUAUGGCGUAGGAAAAUUUUGAAUUUAUGCUACGUUACCCAACAGAGACGUCAUUGAUCUGUACGUGUGCUGAACGCGGAGGUCCAUCCGUUCAGCACUAGAUCGGGUUGGAUCAUGAUGGGAUCAUGGGACAGAUCGUGAUAAGAUCGCGGGACGGAUCAUGAUUGGAUCGCGAAGACGUUCGACUACAUCAACCGCGUUAUAUACGCUUCCACUUAGCGAUCUACAAGGGUAUGUGGAUAUAAUCUCUGCUCUCGUAGAUGGUCAUCACCAUGGAUAGAUCUUGUGUGCGCAUGUGAAAUUUUUUGUAUCCCAUGCGACGUUCCCCAACAGAACUUUUGCCGCGAGCCGAUCUGGUUCGAGGUCGACAACUUCUCCAGCUCCUACCAGGUCAUCUUGGGCUGACCCUCCCUCGCCAAGCUCAUGGUGGUCCCGCACUAUGCCGACGUGAAGAUGAAGCUGUCGGGUCCGCACAGAAUCAUCAUCAUUACCGGCAACUACAAGAAAUCGUCCGAAUGCGCUCUGGCCGGCUCCAAGCUGGCCGAGUGCCUCGUCAUCGCUGAGGAACAGUGACAGAUCGACCGACGUGUGGCUCUCGCCCACGAGGCGGUGCCCAUGACCGAGCCCAAGCUGAAGCAGCCGGCUGUGAAGGCCCGGUUCCAGCCGGCAACCGGCAAGGACACCAAGAGGGUCCCCGUGGACCCGACAGACCCCACCGGCAAGUACGUCAUGGUCUGGCCGACCUCAGUGACAAAUAGGAAAGCGAGUGAUAACCCACAAGUAUAGGUUAUCACAACUGUUUUUUAGGGUGGAUUAUUCAACCCAAAUUUAUUGAUUCGACUCAAGGGGAGCCAAAGAAUAUUCUCGAGUAUAGGAGCUGAGUUGAAAAUUCAACCACACCUGAAAGACUUAAUAUCCGCAACAAAGUAUUUAGUAGAAAAGUAGUAUGGAAGUAACGGUAACGGUGGCAAACGUCAAAGUAGCAGUUUUGUAGUGAUUAUAACAAUAGCAACGGAAAAUUAACUUAACAAAGAUCAAUAUGUGGAAAGCUCGUAGGCAAUGGAUCAGUGAUGGAUAAUUAUGUCGGAUGACAUUCAUCAUGCAAUAGUCAUAACAUAUGCUGACACAGAACUAGCUCCAAUUCAUCAAUGUAAUGUAGGCAUGUAUUCCGUAUAUAGUCAUACGUGCUUAUGGAAAAAAACUUGCAUAACAUAUUUUGUCCUACCCUCCCGUGCCAGUGGGGUCCUAAUGGAAACUAAGGGAUAUUAAGGCCUCCUUUUAAUAGAGAACAGGACCAAAGCAUUACCACUUAGUGAAUACAUGAACUCCUCAAACUACGGUAAUCACCGGAAAGAAUCCGAGUUAUUGUGACCCUGGGGGAUGCGGAUCAUAACUCGUAAUAGGUGUCUACAACUUGCAAGAUAGUAUCAAGAACACAUAUAUAUUCAUGAAAAUAUAAUAGGUCCAGAUCGUAAAUCUUGGCACUCGGGCCCUAGUGACAAGCAUUAAGCAUAGCAAAGUCAUAGCAACAUCAAUCUCAGAACAUAGUGGAUACUAGGGAUCAAACCCUAACAAAACUGACUCGAUUACAUGAUGGAUCUCAUCCAACCCAUCACCGUCCAGCAAGCCUACGAUGGAAUUACUCAUGAACGACCAAGAGCAUCAUGAAAUUGGUGAUGAAGGACGGAUGAUGAUGACGACGGCGUUGAUUUCCCCUCUCCGGAUCCCAAAUCAGACUCCAGAUCUGCCCUCCCGAGGAAAAACACGAGGUGGCGGCGGCUCCAUACCGUAAAAAAUGAUGAAAUCUUCUCUCUGAUUUUUUUCUCCUCGAAUAGGAGUAUAUAGAAGUGGAAACAAGGUUGGAGGAGCCACAGGGGCCCCACAUGCCAGGGGGCGCCCUAGGGGGGCGGCGCCCUGCAUGCUUGUCGCCGGGUGGUGGCCCCUCUCCGGUUGGUUCUUUCUCCAAUAUUUUUUAUUAGUUCCAAAAAUAUUCUCCAUAAAUUUUCAGGUCAAUCCGAGAACUUUUAUUUCUACACAAAAAUAACACCAAGGUAACUCUGCUGAAAACAGCGUUAGUCCGGGUUAGUUCCAUUCAAAUCAUCCAAAUUAGAGUCCAAAACAAGGCCAAAAGAGUUUGGAAAAGUAGAUAAGUUGGAGACGUAUCAACUCCCCCAAGUUUAAACCUUUUCUUGUCCUCAAUAAAUUCAGUUGAUAAACUGAAAGUGAUAAAUAAAAACUUUUACAAACUCUGUUUGAUCUUGCUGUUGUAAAUAUGUCUAACUGAUGUUUGGAUCUUCACCUACGAUUAUAGACUAACCGCAUUCACAAUAAUAUUUUAGGUAUCACAUUUACUUGUAUCAACGGCGUAAUCAACUAGCGAGAAAUAAUAAUAAGUCUCAGAUGACAACAAUUUUAUCAAAACAAUCAUAAUACAAUAUGAUAAACUGGUAUCUCGCUAGCCCUUUUUGAGAUCGCAAAACAUAAAUGCAGAGCACCUCCGAAGAACAAGGACUGACAGGACAUUGUAAUUCAUGGUAAAAGAGAUUUAGUCAUACUCAUACUCAAUAUCAAUUAAUACCAAAGCAUACAAAUGAUGGGGGUGCUCUCUAACUAGUGCCUUUUUAUAAGAAGAGGAUGACUCAACAGUAAAGUAAAAUAGAUAGGCCCUUCACACAGGGAAGCAUUAAUUUACAGAGGUGCCAGAGCUCGAGCUUUUAAAACAGGGGUGAAUCAAAAUUUUGGGCGGUAUGCUUUCAUUGUCAACAUAACAACUAAGAGAUCUCAAUAUCUUCCAUGCUAGAUACAUUAUAGGCGGUUCCCAAAGAGAAUAGUAAAGUUUUUACUCCCCCUCCACUGAUACGUCUCCAACGUAUCUAUACUUUUUGAUGGUUUCAUGCUAUUAUCUUGUCAGACUUUGGAUGUUUUGCAUGCCUUUUAUAUAUUUUUUUGGGACUAACUUAUUAAAUCAGUACCAAGUGCCAACUUGUGUUUUUCCAUGUUUUUGACCCCUUUCAGAGGAGAUUUUGAAACGGAGUCCAAACAGAAUAAAAUCCCCGAAAAGAAUUUUCCCAUAACGGAAGAAGAUCAAGAGACUUGAGAGCCAAGGCAGGGGGGCCCAGGGGCCCCACAAGCCCUCACCCCGCGGCCAGGGGGAGAGGCUGCGGCCCACAGGCUUGUGGCCCCCUGGACGCCCUUUGCCCUAGGGGUUGCGCCUAUAUAUUCCCUAAAAAUCCCAAAAAAUUAGGAGAUCAUCGAAAGUACUUUUCCGCCGCCGCAAGAUUUUGUCUCCGCAAUAUCCCAUCUGGGGCACGUUCUGGUGCCUUGCCAGAGGGGGAUUCGGAUACGGAGGGCUUCUUCAUCAACACCAUGACCUCUCCGAUGAUGCGUGAGUAGUUCACCAUAGACCUACGGGUCCAUAGCUAGUAACUAGAUGGCUUCUUCUCUCUCUUGGAUCCGCAAUACAAAGUUCUCCAUGAUCUUCAUGGAGAUCUAUCUGAUGUAAUCUUCUUUUGCGGCGUGUUUGUCGAGAUCCGAUGAAUUGUGGAUUUAUGAUCAGAUUAUCUAUGAAUCUUAUUUGAGUUUCUUCUGAUCUCUCUUAUGCAUGAUUUCAUAUCCUUGUAAUUCUCUUCGAGUUGUGGGUUUUGCCUGGCCAACUAGAUCUAUGAUUCUUGGAAUGGGAGAAGUGCUAGGUUGAGAGAAGCCUCUAGUGCACACUAUGGCCCCCGGGUCUACUCCACACCAUAUUUUCAGCCUUACACUUUUUUACUUCGUUGCACUUUCCGCCUUCAGAUCUCACUUUGCAAACAAUCUUGAAGGGAUUGACAACCCNNNNNNNNNNUUGGGUGCAAGCUUGUUUGUGUUUGCGCGGGUACUCUGGACUUGACGAGACCCUCCUUCUGGAUCGAUACCUUGGUUCUCAAACUAAGGGAAAUACUUACUGCUCCUGUGCUGCAUCACCCUUUCCUCUUCAAGGGAAAAACCAACGCAAGCCCAGUCUCCGUCAACGUGUCAAUUUCUGGCGCUGUUGUUUGUUGCCGUAGUAGAAGAAUUUAUGGCACCGUUGCCAGGGAGGAAGAUCAAGUCAAGAAGUCAUCCAAGUAGGUGUCGCAAACUCAUCUCUUGCAUUUACUUUGUUUGCUAGUUGCCUCUCGUUUUCCUCCCCCCCACUUCACAAUUUGCCUUUUUCGUUCGCCUUUCCGUUCACCCUUUAUCCUUGCUUGCUCUUUGUUUUCUUGUGUGGUUGCUUGCUUGCCUAAGUCACCAUGAAUGAAAACACCAAACUUUGUGACUUCUCAAAUACUAAUAAUAAUGAUUUUAUUAGUACUCCGAUUUCUCCCGCCACUAGUGCGGAGUCUUACGAAAUCAAUGCCGCUUUGCUGAAUCUUGUUAUGAAAGAGCAAUUCUCCGGCCUUCCUAGUGAAGAUGCCGCAUCCCAUCUCAAUACCUUCAUUGAGCUUUGCGAUAUGCAAAAGAAGAGAGAUGUGGAUAAUGACGUGAUUAAAUUGAAGCUUUUUCCUUUCUCGUUGCGAGAUCGCGCAAAAACUUGGUUUUCUUCUUUGCCCAAAAAUAGUAUUGAUUCUUGGGAUAAGUGCAAAGAUGCUUAUAUGUCCAAGUAUUUUCCGCCGGCUAAGAUUAUCUCUCUCCGUAAUGAUAUCAUGAAUUUGGUUGCUAGUAGAAGUGCUCCUUUGGAUCCUAAUGAUAUGCCCUUGUCUUCUUUGAUUGAGAGUAGCAACGCUAGCUUGGACGUUAAUUUUGUUGGUAGGAAUAACUUUGGCAACAACAAUGCUUUUAGAGGAAACUAUGUUCCAAGGCCUUUUCCUAGUAACUCCUCUAAUAAUUUUGGCAACUCCUACAACAAUACUCAUGGAAAUUACAAUAGAUUACCCUCUGAUCUAGAGAGUAAUAUCAAAGAGUUCAUCAACUCUCAAAAGAUUUCCAAUGCGUCCAUAGAGGAAAAGCUACUCAAAAUUGACGAUUUGGCUAAGAGCGUUGAUAGAAUGUCUAGUGAUGUUGAUGCUUUGAAAGUUAGAUGUGCUCCUCCCAAAAUAAACAUGGAUGAAACUUUGAAAGCUAUGCGUGUUUCCAUGAUUGAGAGCCAAGAAAGAAUUGCCCAAAUUCGUGCUAGACAUGAAUGGCUUAAAAAGGCGUGUUCUCGUGAUGAGAAUCACGAAGAUCUUAAAGUGCUUGGUGUGACUCCCAUUGAAUCUUUGUUUUCUUGUGUCAAACCUAAUGAUUAUGGGGCUGGAUAUGAAUCAACUUUGGUUGAAAAGUGCCCCAAUGAUUCGGAGUCCAUCUAUCUUGAUGCUAAAAGCAUUGAAAGUGGAGUAGAAGAUGUUAAAACUUUGAGUAGUAAUGAAAUUACUACCAUGGAUUUCAAGGAAUUAAAUUAGGAUAGUUUCUCCUUGAUUGAAUGCAUUUCUUUGAUGCAAUCUAUGUUAAACUCUCCACACGCUUAUAGCCAAAACAAGGCCUUUACCGAUCAUAUCGUCGAAGCUAUGAUAAAAUCUCUUGAAGAGAAACUUGUAUUGGAAGUCUCUAUCCCUAGAAAGCUUCAUGAUGAGUGGGAACCUAGCAUAAAAAUCAAAAUCAAAAACUAUGAGUGCAAUGCUUUGUGUGAUUUGGGUGCUAGUGUUUCUGCGAUUCCAAAGUCUUUAUGUGAUGUUCUGGGUUUUAAUGAGAUUGAAGAGUGUUCUCUUAAUUUGCAUUUUGCUGAUUCUACUGUCAAGAAACCCAUGGGAAGGAUCAACGAUGUUCUUAUUAUUGCAAAUAGGAACUAUGUACCCAUGGAUUUCAUUAUGCUUGACAUUGAUUGCAAUCCUACAUGCCCUAUUAUUCUUGGUAGACCUUUCCUAAGGACUAUCAGUGCUAUCAUUGAUAUGAAGGAAGGGAACAUUAGAUUUCAAUUUCCUUUAAGGAAGGGCAUGUAACACUUUCCUAGAAAGAAAAUAAGAUUGCCUUAUGAAUCCAUGAUGANNNNNNNNNNCACUUAUGGUUUGAGCACCAAAGACGACGAUACGUGAUUCUAUCGCUUUUAUGCCUAGCUAAGGGCGUUAAACAAUAGCGCUUGUUGGGAGGCAACCCAAUGAAUUUAUAUUUUUCUUUCUAUUUUGUUGUGUCCACACCAUCGCAAUUCUGUUGUGAUUGUGUUUUUUGUGUUUCUUUUUGUGUUUGAGCCAAGCAAAACCUUUAUGACUAGUCUUGGUAAUGGUUGUUUGAUCCUGCUGGAAAAAGACAAAAACUUUUCGCUCACGAGAUGAUUUUUAAUUUUUAUUCAAAAAGAGCUUUUGAGUUGAUUCUUUUUGCUGCUUGUUGAUAUGCCUUUUGCCCAGGCCCUCCUAAUUGUUCAGAUUCUUUGAGGUACCAUAAGUAUACGAAGUAUAUAGAUUGCUAUAGACUGGUCUAUUUUUGACAGAUUCUGUUUUUGUUGAGUUGGUUGCUUGUUUUUUGAAACUAUGGUUAGUAUAGGGGGGGUACUAGCCAUGGAAAAAUGAGAAUACAUUAGCCCAACACCAAUAUAGAUAGAAUUCAAGUUUGCUACAGUACCAAAAGAAGUGGUAGUUUGUUUUCUUGUGCUAAUGUUAUCACGAGUUUCUGUUUAAGUUUUGUGUUGUGAAGUUUUCAAGUUUUGGGUGAUGUUCUCAUGGACAAAGAGAUAAGGAGUGGAAAUAGAUCAAGCUUGGGGAUGCCCAAGGCAUACCAAGCCAAAUUCAAGGACACCAAAAAGCCUAAGCUUGGGGAUGCCCCNNNNNNNNNNUAAUCCAUCGGUAACAUUACUUGGGGCUAUAUUUUUAUUCACCACAUGAUAUGUGUUUUGCUUGGAUCGUCUUGUAUCUUAGGAGUCUUUUUUUGUGUGUCACAAUCAUCCUUGCUGCACACCUUUUUGAGAGAGAGAGACUUGCACUCAUCGUGAUUUAGCUAGAAUCCUCAUAGUGCUUCACUUAUAUCUUUUGAGCUAGAUACUUUUGCUCAUAGUGCUUCACUUAUAUCUUUUGAGCUAGAUACUUUUGCUCUUUGUGCUUCACUUAUAUCUUUUAGAGCACGGCGGUGCGUGAUUUGGUAGUUGGCUUAUGCUAUGAAAGUAGUCCCAAAUGUGAUAGGUACCCAAAGAGGAUGCAAAAACCUCCAUCUUCAUGUGCAUUGAGUAGAAAGAGAAGUUUUGAUUCCUCUCAAUUAGUUUUGAGACGUGGAUUUGGUAAUAUUAAGAGCUAUGUUAGUAGGGUGUUGUGAAUCUAGAAAUACUUGUCUUGAAGUUAGUGAUUCCCGUAGCAUGCAUGUAUGGUGAACCGCUAUGUUAGGAAGUCGGAGCAUAAUUGAUCUAUUGAUUGUCAUCCUUUGUGUUGAGGUCGGGAUCGCGCGAUGGUUAACACCUACCAACCCUUCCCCUAGGAGUAUGCGUUUAGCACUUUAUUUCGAUUACUAAUAAAAACUUUCGCAACAAGUGAAAGUGCAUGCUAUGCCCCUAAUCGACUUUUGGUGUUAAUGACAACACAUACAUAGGAAACUAAUCCUAUUUGUUGAGUGUAUCUCACGAUGACAAGUACUUUAGUAAAUUGAGAAUUAUGUGCCAAAGGUGGUCUCAGAAGAUCGAUAUUUAUAUGUCAAGAAGGCUCGGGAUUGAGAAAAGAUGAUGUAGACUAUCCUUUCGAGUUUACUAUUCUUGAGUAUAGGGAUCCCGCACUAUUAAGAGGGGAUCACAGGUUUUGUGAUGAACUUGCUCAUACCACAUCUUCACUAUUCUGCUCAAUACCACAUAUUCUCUACUCUGCUCCUAUCUCAAAACAGGUCUAAUGGCUCGGACAUCCGGCUCCCUCCGGACGUCCGAGGGUCGGUCAAGGGUCGGACGACCGACAGGCUUCGGAAAUCCGGAGCUCUGCACCAGAAGAACUUGAGCCCUAUAACUCAGAUUUCUGGCUCCCUCCGGACAUCCGAGGGCCGGUCGACCGACCAGCUUCGGAAUUCCGGAGCCCUGCGCCAGAAGAACGUGAGCUCUAUAACUCGGAUUUUCGGCUCCCUCCAGACGUCCGAGGGCCGGACGUCCGACCCCUUUGGAAAUCCGGAACCUUGCACCAGAAGAAGUUGAGUCGAAUAACUCGGANNNNNNNNNNUUUCGGCUCCCUUGGGACGUCCGAGGGCCGGUCAAGGGUCGGACGACCGACAGGCUUCGGAAAUCCGGAGCUCUGCACCAGAAGAACUUGAGCCCUAUAACCCAGAUUUCUGGCUCCCUUCGGACAUCCGAGGGCCGGUCGACCGACCAGCUUCGGAAAUCCGGAGCCCUGCACCAGAAGAAUGUGAGCUCUAUAACUCGGAUUUCCGGCUCCCUCCGGACGUCCGACCCCUUCGGAAAUCCGGAACCUUGCACCAGAAGAAGUUGAGUCGAAUAACUCGGAUUUCCGGCCUUCUCCGGACGUCCGGUCCCUGUUCAACUCACAGUGUUUCCAGACAUAUCUACAGCUCUCGGACGACCGACCCCUUGCGGACGUCCGACCCCUUGCGGACGCCCGGACUUCCGUAAACUGCCGGACGUCCGAACCCUGUGUGACUUAAAGUGUCCCCAACGGCUGCUUUUACACUCCCCACUAUAUAUACCCCCUCCCACUUCGUGAGAGGGUNNNNNNNNNNAUUCAACUCACAGUGUUUCCAGACAUAUCUACAGCUCUCAGAUGACCGACCCCUGUCGGACGUCCGACCCCUUGCGGACGCCCAGACUUCCGUAAACUGGCGGGCGUCCGAACCCUGUGUGACUUAAAGUGUCCCCAAUGGCUACUUUUACACUCCCCACUAUAUAUACCCCCUCCCACUUCGUGAGAGGGUGUCCAACACAGCUACAACACAGCUAGAACACAUCCAAGAACACCCUUCUUCUCACUCACUCUUGUCUACACCAAAUCUUAGAUCCCAAGAGCAUUUGUGAGUCCCUUUGAGUGUUGUUCCAAUCAAAAGAUAGAUCGUCUCCUUCUCCUCCUUCCCACCAAAGUGAUUUGUGAUUUGAGAAAUCCCCGUGAUCUUGUUACUCUUGGAGGUUGGGGACUCCUAGGCGGUAGGAGUCUUCAGAGAGGAAUCAAACCAUUGUGAUUUCCCCCGGAAAGUUUGUGAAGGUUUGGAAGCCACCUCAAGGCUUACCACUAGUGGUUGAGAAACGCCUUCGUGGAGUUAUCUCAAAGGGAGAAUAGGGUGACACUUCGUGGCGUUGGUGUGCCUUCGUGGUAACAUCCGCCCCUCUAACGGUGACGUAGCUUCGCUCCGAGGAAGUGAACAUCGGGAUACAUCCUCGUCUCUCUUGGAGUUUCGGUUAUUCCUAACCCUAACUCUCUACUUGUGUUAAUCCUUAUUACGUACUUGUAUUUGAUUAUUGUUUACCACUUGCCUUACUUCACUCUAAAUAGCUUACUCCUUGUCAUAGCAAUUAUUAGGCCUACACUCAUAUUCCGCACUUUUGCCUAAAAUUGCUAAGUAAUUAUUAAAAUUUGGAACUGUACCUAUUCACCCCCCUCUAGGUCCAUCUCGAUCCUUUUCAAUUGGUAUCAGAGCCUCGUGCUCUAUUCUUGUGGAUUAACCGCCCUAGAGCGAGAUGGACGGGAUUCCAACUACGGUAGCUCCAGUGGAGAGGGACGGGACUUCCACGGAAGUCAAGUCUUUCACCUCUGAGGACCUGGAACGGGCCCUUGCCAAGCAAAAAGAGGAGCAUAAUGCUUCUCUUGAGGCCUUGGUCCAAAUAAGAAUGGCAUCAUUAACCACGGGGACAGCCACGUCCCCGAGGGCCUCAGGGCCACAUGUGCACGGUUCUUCAUUUGGCCAACAACCUCCGGAAAGGAACCAAACCAGUGUUCCAUGGCUUUAUGCUAGAUCUCAAAUUGAGAAACCUAAGUACAAUCCUGGAGGAAAACCUCCCUUGCUUGAUGACAAUUCCGAUUUUGCUUUGUGGAGAGUUGGUAUGCAGGAUCAUCUUAGGUACGCCAAUGAUGAGAUGUUGGACAUCCUCGAGCAUGGGUACAAUCCGGUAGAUCCAAGGUGCCUCACUCCCAGAGAAACUUAUGACAAGCAUCUCAAUGACACUGCGAUCAUGUGCAUAAGAAAAGGAAUGAAUGACAAGCAACGAAGACCUUACAUUCACAUCACAAGUGCCAAGAAACUGUGGGAUAGCAUUAUAAGGACCAAGACCGGUACCUCCACUCUUCGGCUUGCUCAAUAUGAAAUUGCCAAGGGGCAAUUACAGAAUUUCUAUAUGGAAAAGGGUGAAUCUCCCAAGCAACUGAUAGAACGGCUCAUGACUCUCGCCACAGACAUUGAGUCAUGUGACUGUGACAAGACGCAAGAUGGUUUCAAUCUGACCAAGAGAUUUCUCGUGGACAAGUUACUGCAUGCUCUUGCUCCGUAUCACCAUCAAAUGGUAUGGGACAUGAGGCAACACCAUGGGUUCAAAGAAAUGACUCCAGAUGACAUCAUAUCCACUUUCCAAUUAUUUGAAGAGUCAAAGGCAAAUGCAACAAAGCACCUUGCCAUGCAUGGCACUUCAACAUCAAAGAUCAAUCUUGCUUUGAAAGCCAAGCAUGAAUGCGACGAAGAAGAAAGUGAAGAAGUAGAGGGUGAUGAUGACUGCGAAGAUGGCGAUGAUGUUGACUCUGAUGAAAGCCCAUCUUGUGAGGACAUUGCUCUCUUUGUAAAGAAGUUCAGUGCGGGAAAAUUCAAGGGAAGAUUCCCAAAGAAGAAGGUAAGGAAAUGCUACAACUGUGAGGAAACCAACCACUUCUCCAAUGACUGCCCUUAUGAGAAGAGAGAAGACAAACCAAGGUUUCCAAAGACCUUUGUAAAGAAGAAGUUGCCAAACCCUAUGAUCUCCAAACUCAAGAGGACAGAUGGAAGAGCAAUGGUUGCACAAGAAGAAUCUGAUCCAGAAGACGUUGGUGGGGUUGGCGGAGUAGCUCAGGAUACACAAAACACCUUGAGGUUAGUCAACAGAAGUGGCGAUGUUGUUCACUACAACUAUAUGAAAGACUACAAGGGCAACGCCCACAAGUGUUUGAUGGCAAAGACUUCCAUGGGAGAUGAGGAAGACCAAAGCUCCCAUGAUAAGGUUAAGGUAACUCCACGGUUAAACUCUUUGAGUCUAGCUUCUACUCCAUCUAAUAAGUAUCUUGAUGAAGAAGAUCAUUAUGAGGAUAAUGACUUAGAUCAUCCCAUGUUUGCUAAAAUAAACAAAUUUAUGUGCUCUCUUAAAGGAAAGAAGCUCACUAUGUUUCGCAUACUUAUGGAAAUGGUGAAUAAGCACACCAAUACCAUCAAGGAACUCGAAACCCUCGUCACUGAGGAGAAGGAAAGAAAUGAAAUCCUUGAGCAGAAAGUCCUGUAUGAGGAAGCACAAAAUGAUGCAUUAUGCUCAAAAGUAGGUGAAAACCUUGAUAAACAUGCUAAUGAUCUUGCCUCCUUGAAAAAGGCUGAAUCUGUGUGCAAAGAGUUACUAAAUGAUAAAAACCGACUAGUGAACUCUCAUGCUUCCCUUUCUAAGGACUGUGAGCGUCUAUCCUUGUCUCUCAAAGACAAGGAAGAGAAACUCACUGUUCUUACAAAGAGCUUUGAGGCACUCAAGGUUACUUAUCUUGACACUUUAGCUAAGGCUUACUCCUCACCUAUUAUUAGUGUUGAUACCCGCACUACUAACUCUAGUAGUGAACUGACAUCUAUCCUUGAGGAAAACUGUUCGCUAAAGGCACAACUAGACAGAGGUCUCAUGACAUGUGCACAAGGACAAAAGACUCUCAAUGAGAUCUUAAGUCGACACAAUGGAGGCCUUGCCAAGGAAGGGCUCGGAUUCAACUCAAGCACCGCCAAGAAAAGCGCAUCUCCUCUCAAGUGUACCACUCCGCUUAAAGAAAUAUUUGUACGAGAGGGACACAAGGAGAAAGGUAAGGUUGUGAGUGGGUCGGCCACUAGGGGUUCGCCUACUCACAACAAGACAACUGAAUUCAUGCCUCCAUCCUAUGUACUUCGCAAAUCAAAGGAAGGAGAGGUUUAUGCUAAAUUAGUUGGUCCCCGUAAUGCAUUCCGAUUUUAUGCUAUUUGGGUCCCUAAGACUCUUGUAACUAAUGUGAAAGGCCCCAUGACGAAAUGGGUACCUCAAACCAAGUCUUAAUUCGUUACAGGCUAUUUUCUCCGGAGGAGCCAAAUGGGUGAUCGACAGUGGAUGCACCAAUCAUAUGACCGGAGAUGGUAACUUGCUCUAUGACUUCAUGCAAGCCAUUCGACCAUACAUGAGCAUUGUAUUUGGUGGAGGGUCGAAAGGGCAGGUAAUUGGGUUGGGCAAGGUGGCAAUCACUAAUGACAUGUCUAUUGCAAAUGUCAUGCUUGUCCAAUCUCUUCAAUAUCACUUACUUUCAGUUCGCCAAUUGGCUUCCGUUGGUUAUGACACACUAUUCGGACUAACGGAUGUGAAAGUCUUUAAGAGAGACUCUCUCGAAGUGGCCUUUGUUGGAGAGUUGGAUGGCAACCUUUACACGGUUGAUUUCUCGAAAGAGAGCACCUUCCAUACAACUUGUCUAAUGGCCAAGGCUGACAUGGGAUGGUUGUGGCAUCGCCGGCUCACCCAUGUCGGCAUGAGAAAUCUUCAAAAUAUCUUAAACGACAAUCACAUCCUUGGACUAACGAAUGUACCUUUUAAGAAAGAUCGUGUGUGCAGUGCAUGCAUAGCUGGGAAACAACAUCAAUCAAAACAUCCACCCAAGAACAUUGUAUCCACUUCGAGGCCGUGAGAGCUCCUUCAUGUGGAUUUGUUUGGGCCUCCUUCAUGGGCAAGUCUUGGAGGGAAAAAGUAUGGCCUAGUCAUUGUUGAUGAUUACUCAAGAUAUACAUGGGUGUUCUUUCUCAAGUCCAAGGACGAGACGAAGAUCACCUUCAUUGAUUUUGCCAAACAAGCCCAGCGGAAGUUUGACAAGGACAUCAAGGCAAUAAGAAGUGAUAAUGGCUCUGAGUUCAAGAACUACACCCUAGAAGAAUUUCUUAGUGAUGAGGGAAUUGAACAUCAGUACUCCGCACCUUACACCCCUCAGCAAAAUGGUGUGGCAGAGAGGAAGAACCGGACACUUGUGGAAAUGGCAAGGUCCAUGUUAGACGAAUACAAGUCACCACAUAGUUUUUCGGCUGAGGCCGUCAACAAAGCAUGUCAUGCAUCAAACCGUCUCUUCCUUUGAUCAAUAUUGGAGAAGACUCCAUAUGAGCUCCUAACUGGGAACAAGCCCAAUGUUAAGUACUUUCGUGUGUUUGGAUGCAAGUGUUUCAUCCUCAACAAACGGGAACGGUUAGGAAAAUUUCAAUCCAAAACAACUCAAGGGAUUUUUGUUGGCUAUGGAUCAAACUCUCACGCCUACAGAGUCUACAACAAAUCCACUGGAUGUGUUAUAGAAACCUGUGACGUGACGUUUGAUGAAUUUAACCGCUCCCAUGGGGAGCAAGUCGAUCUAAGUGAUGCAGGUGAAAAAGGCUCCUCACAAGAUAUCUUGAACAUGGGUGUAGGUGCACUUCUUCACAUGGAACAAAGACCCCAUGAUGAUGAUUAAGAUGAUGAGAGUAUUUCUCAUCCUCAAGACAGUUCACUGCCCGUACCUACACAAGAUACUAGCACACAUAUCAUGCUAGUUGUUGAGGAUCAAGUGGGAGAACAUGUCUCUCACUCUGAUCACACUCAAGAACAAGUUGAUCUUCAAGAGCUAGACCAAAGUAUGGAUAUGCUUAAUGAUGAACCUUAACAGGUGCAACGCGAAGAGGAAUAUCUUCCUCCGCACAUAAAUGAUCCAUAUGUUGAGGAUGUUGAUGAUGGAAACGAAGUCGAACCUCGUGAAACCCUGACCUCCAUCAUGCCACGUGUGGCCGGUCGUGUUGAUAUUGAUCAAAUCCUCACCGGCGUGUCGGAAGGUAGAGUGACUCAUAAACAAUUAACAAACUUCUGUGCUCACUUUUCGUUUGUCUCUAGUACCGUGCCACACAGGGUUCAGGAUGCAUUGUGUGACAAUGACUGGCUCCUUGCUAUGCAAGAAGAGUUAAACAGUUUUACACGCAACGAAGUAUGGUCAUUAGUAGAACGACCAACUGAGGAACAUAAUGUCAUUGGAACUAAAUGGAUUUUCAAGAACAAGGAAGAUGAUAAUGGGACUGUCCUACGCAACAAGGCGUUAGUAGCACAGGGGUACUCCCAAGUUGAAGGUUUGGACUUUGGUGAGACUUUCGCCCCUGUUGCUCGUCUUGAAUCCAUUCGCAUUUUAUUGGUCUAUGCUGCUUUCAAUGGUUUUACUUUGCAUCAAAUGGAUGUGAAAAGUGCUUUUCUUAACGGUCCUCUACAAGAAGAGGUAUAUGUAUCACAACCACCUGGGUUUGUUGACCCUCACCACAAAGACCAUGUAUACAAACUUCACAAGGCUCUGUAUGGCCUCAAACAAGCACCCUGUGCUUGGUACGAUCAUCUUAAGAAGUUCCUACUCGAUGAUGGCUUUGUGGUGGGGGUGAUCGAUCCCACUCUUUUUACUAAGAGGGAAAAUGGUGACUUGAUCUUAUGCCAAAUCUAUGUCGAUGACAUCAUUUUUGGUUCUCCUAACAUCCAUUUAUGCAAGAAGUUUGCGGCCUCCAUGACCAAGACCUUUGAGAUGUCACUCAACACGGACUUGAAGUUCUUUCUUGGGUUUCAAAUACAACAAUUUCAAGAAGGGAUUUUCUUGUCUCAAACUAAGUACCUCAAGGACAUUCUUGAAAAAUAUGAUAUGACAAAUGCUAAACCAAUGAAGACACCCAUGGCCACAGAUGUAGUUCUAAAUGAAGACACCAACGGUAUUCCUUUUGACCCAUCUACUUACCACUCCAUGAUUGGUUCGCUACUUUAUCUUUGCGCAUCUAGACCGGACAUCAUGUUAAGUGUAGGCAUAUGUGCUAGAUUUCAAGCUUCCCCUAGGGAAAGCCAUCAUACGGCGGUUAAGCAUAUUCUUAGAUACCUUGUUCACACCCCAAAGUUAGGCUUAUGGUACCCUAAGGAUGCAAAGUUCGAUCUUAUUGGGUACUCCGAUGCGGAUUGGGCCAGUGACAAAGUGGGACGGAAAUCCACUUCCGGUGCAUGUCAGUUUCUUGGACGCUCCUUGGUAAGUUGGUCCUCGAAAAAGCAGAUAUGUGUUUCGCUCUCCACGGCUGAGGCUGAAUGUAUUGCAGCCGCAAGCUGUGCAACCCAACUGCUAUGGAUGAGGCAAACCCUAAAGGAUUAUGGUAUCACGUAUCGACACGUUCCUCUUCUCUGUGAUAAUGAAAGUGCCAUAAAGAUCUCCGAGAACCCCAUUGAUCACCCUCGCACAAAACAUAUUGAUAUUAGGUAUCAUUUCUUGAGAGACCAUGUGCAAAAGGGUGACAUUGAUAUUACCCAUGUGGGUACCGACAUGCAGCUCGCCGACAUUUUCACCAAGCCACUUAGCGUAGCUAGGUUCUGUCAACUUAGGCAUGAACUUGGUAUCUUGGAGCUUGAUAACAUAACUUGAAAUCUUGCACACACGCACACACUCACAUUAUGUUUGUGUCUUGAUGUGGGCAUGCAUUUAGGGGGAGUUGGUCAUAAUUUUGUGUUUUGAGCUUACAAAGUAUGCAUAAAUCAACUUCUGUCCACAAGUAGUAUAUGUAAUGCUUGUAGGCAACUAUGUUCGUGCUCUUUGUGAGAAACCAUGAAAAAUCAUCAUCUCAUCAUCAAAAAUUCAAGAAUCACCAUCUGCCUCCUCUCUCUCGGUCGUCCGACGUGUCUCGGACGUCUGGAGGCUAACCUCAUUCCGGACGUCCGACGGCAAAAUCCUCUCCGAACGUCCGACGCCUGUCGGACGUCCGACACAUCGGGGCCUAUAAAUAGAUGGGCGCGGGGCUGGGCUUUGCCCUAGCCCUCAUGCGCCCCCUUUUUCCCCUGCAGCCGCCGCCGCCAGCACCCGGUGCGCUCACCCGCGCCGCCACUCCCGAGAUCUGCCUGAUCUCCUCCGCAGAUCUUUUCUUCUUCCUCUUCUUCCUCCACGGGAUCCAUCUGCAGGUAUCUCCUCCGUUUCCCUCGCGUUUGGUUCCCUCUCUCCCUAGUCCACGUGUUCGUUCAUAUGGUUUGACCAUCUUCGUUCCUCAUUUGGGUUUCCACCCGUGUAGGUUGUUGUGCACCAUGCCCAGGGUUAAGCACGCCGCCCGGAAGGACAUUGCUGGCUCAUCCGCUCGUGCCCCUACUGGCACGGGGUCGGACUCGGAAGGGCAACGUUGUCCCUUCAAACGGACUGCCCGGCGUCCUCCGUCUCCACUGCUCCCCUCGUCGUCUGAUGGUGAUGGCUCUGACUUCGAGGAUGAGCUUGCCGUCGAGGACUGUGCUACCCAGCCCGCCGAUCGGAGGUCCAUGCCAAAGCCCGGGACUCGCAGGGCGUCCUAUAUGCCACCACCUCCUCCUGCACAGCCCGCAGGUGAAGCUCGCCGCAUCUCACUUGAACCGCCUGCUACCUUAGGUCGUGAAGUCACAAACUUCACCACUCUUGCCAAGUCUUCAUACCUCACUUUCCGCCGCGACAUUGAUCAAUUCUCUGUCGUACGUGAUUCUACGGACUCACGUUUCCGCACUCACGUCCAGGCGGACAUUUUUACUACAGUCAUAGUUCCUAAGGGUCUCUCUGUUCAUCACUUCAUAGAUCUUGAGCAUAUUCGCAUGCACCCGGCGAAAUACCCGGGUGCCACUGAGCUUAUUGAGGCAUCGGGGCUUGCUGCCCCGUUUGCUUUUCAUCGUGAUUUUAACGCUGCUGGCAUUCACCAGUUCUAUGCCACAUGCUUCUUUGGUCCAAAUCACACUGUUAGCUGGAUCACCUCUGACGUUCGCUUCACAACUUCUUAUGAUACGUUUGUUGCCGCACUUGGUUUCCCCAAUUCCGGCUUCAAAAUACAUAGGAAUGAUCCUAACCAUGCAGCUAAGUCCAUUGAGGCAUGUGGGUAUCUCCUCAAACCACUCUGUGAGCUUGAUGCGGAUGAACGCAUGAAGGAUCUUAACCAGGUAUCCAUCUGGCGUUCACCUUACUUUAUCAUCUUUCAGUGUCUUAUCCACACCAUCUAUCCCAAGAUGGGUGAUAAGGGCUCUUGCAGUGGCUACUGUAUUGACAUCAUGUCACACUUGUACGAGCACCCCAGGAGAAAAAUUAAUGUGCCUCACUUUCUCUGGCAUGAGAUCCGGCUUGCUAGUUUUCAAUACAAGCGAGCUUUCCCUCAUGCCCCUUCAUCCAGGCUCUUAUUAAUCAUGUUGCUGAUUUCUCUGUUGCUGUCACUCACACACAUCGCAAGUGGGUCAUUCCCGCUCACAUGGCGGAUAACUAUGCUCCCAAGAAAACCCCAUCCUCCACAUCCACUCGCCGCACUGCUGCCCGGUCAGCAACCCCCUCAUCUAGCUCCGCUCCUCUCGGUCGCUUUGCCAACUUCAUUGGCAAGGCACAUUCUGCUAUGAUGAAGGCCAUCUCUUUCCAGUGUGGUCAAACCCAUGAUGUGGUUUCUCGCCUAGUCUCCUCCAAGAAUGCCCUCAAGGCUCGUCUGAGAGACUCGGGCGCUCUUGAUGUGAGUGAUGAUGAGGCCGUUCCUGCUGCUCCUCCUUCUAACUUUGGCUUCCCAUCUGGUCCUGAGUGGGAUGAUUUCCUUGACGAGGCUGGUGGCAGUGGCUUGCCUGACGAUGAGGAUGAUGCUGAUGAGCUCUGAGCAUGGUUGAUGUUGUUGGUGCCUCCCUUUUUGGUACUUGGUGCCAAAGGGGGAGUAAUGUAUCGUAGUUUUUAGUCUUUGGAGAUUUAUUCUAAGUUUGCAUGGUUGAGUAAUGUAAUGGAUAAACUCAUGUAUGGCUUGUAUGGCUACUUAUGAAUGUUGUGAUUGCUAUGGAUUGCUAUGGUAUCAUCAUAGGCUAUUAUGUUUUGCUCCACUACUUCUAUGAUGAUCUAUUGUCUUUCUAUGAUGAUCUAUUAUCUUUACAUGAUGAUCCAUUAUAUGUUCGAUACACACAUUAAAAGGGAGCUCCGAUAUUUUAUCAUGCACAUACUAAGGGGGAGCUCCGUACAAAAUCUCUCCAAGGCUAUAAUGUAUGUUAAAUCUUUUUGAGACCUAUGUAUAUGUUGUCAUCAACUACCAAAAAGGGGGAGAUUGAAAGUGCAUGAUAUGCCCCUAAUCGACUUUUGGUGUUAAUGACAACACAUACAUAGGAAACUAAUCCUAUAUGUUGAGUGUAUCUCAGGAUGGCAAGUACUUUAGUAGAUUGAGAAUUAUGUGCCAAAGGUAGUCUGAGAAGAUCGAGAUUUAUAUGUCCAGAAGGCUCGGGAUUGAGAAAAGAUGAUGUAGACUAUCCUUUCGAGUUNNNNNNNNNNNNNNNNNNNNNNNNNNNNNNNNNNNNNNNNNNNNNNNNNNNNNNNNNNNNNNNNNNNNNNNNNNNNNNNNNNNNNNNNNNNNNNNNNNNNAAAUCCCGGAGUGACAAUAUCCAGAACCACUCCCGGAGAUGACCAUAGUAUGAGGAAUUCAUGUAUUCACCGCGUGUUAAUGCAUUGGUCCAGUUCUUUAUUAAAAGGAUAACCUUAAUAUCUCGUAGUUUCUAUUAGGACCCCGCUGGCACGGGAGGGAUGGACAAUAGAUGUCAUGCAAGUUCUUUUCCCUAAGCACGUAUGACUACAUACGGAAUACAUGCCUACAUUAGAUUGACGAACAGGCACUAGUUACUUAUCUCUCUGUGUUCUAGCUAUUACAUGAUGAAUCACAUCUAUCAUAAUCAUCCAUCACCGAUCCACUGCCUAUGAGUCUUUUACUACUGGUCCUUGCUACGUUACUUUGUCCAGGCUUGUCCCUUGCUACAAAAGGGAUUGGACCACUUUGCUACUACUGUUGCUACUGUUGUUACUCUGGUGCUGCUGCUACUGUUGUUCCUUGCUACUUCGAUGUUACUUGUUGCAAGACUUUUUCGACACCGUUGUCGGGGAAGAAUAGUUCCCCGUCCAUGUGCACUUUACUGGCGCCAUUGAUACAACAGUUAGGAAUAGUCUCCCGUCAACAGAUAUGUUUCUGACACCGUUGCUAUCAUCCUACUUUGCUACAGAUACUUUGCUUGCAGACACUAAUCUUUCAGGUGUGGUUGAAUCUGACAAACUCGGCUGCUAAUACUUGAGAAUAUUCUUUCGUUUCCCCUUGAGGCGAAUCAACAAAUUUGGGUCGAAUACUCUACCCUCGAAAACUGUUGUGAAACCCUACACUUGUGGGUUAUCAACGACUCUAACAGAAUUUUCAUUCAACUCAUUGAGCAAGUCAUUAUGAGCCUUAAGUACUUGUUCUACCUGAGUAGCAACCAUAGAGGCAUGUUUACUCAAAAGCUUAAGAUCAUUGACAUUUCUAUCCACACAAGCACUUAAAUGACCAAGCAUACGAGCAUUCUGUUCCAAUUGUCUGCUAACAUAAUCAUUGAAUCUUUGUUGUUUGGCAACAAAGUUAUCAAAUUCAUCUAGGCACAAGCUAGCAGGUUUAUCAAAAGGAAUAUCACUCUCAUUGAAUAUACGAAGAGAAUUUACCUCUACUACCUGUGUCGGGUUAUCAAGACCAUGGAUCUCUUCGAUAGGUGGUAGAUUUUUGACAUCUUCAGAUNNNNNNNNNNUUUAGCUUCUUGCAUAUCUUCAGGACUGAGGCAUGGGAUACCUCUUUUAUUUGUAGUUGGCUUCGGAGGUGGUUCGGGAAUAGUCCAAGUAUUCUCAUUGCACAAUAUAUUAUUCAAUAGAAUCUCAACUUGUUCCACAGUUCGUUCCCUAAAAACACAACCAGCACAACUAUCUAGGUGGUCCCUAGAAGCAUCGGUUAGUCCAUUAUAGAAGAUAUCAAGUAUUUCAUUCUACUCAAGAGGGUGAUUAGGCAAAGCAUUCCGCAGCUGGACAUGCCUUCCCCAAGCUUGUGGGAGACUCUCUUCUUCAACUUGCACAAAGUUAUAUAUUUCCUGCAAGGCAGCUUGUUUCUUAUGGGCAGGAAAAUAUUUCUCAGAGAAGUAGUAGAUCAUAUCCUGGGGACUACGCACACAACCAGGAGCAAGAGAAGUGAACCAAGUCUUAGCAUCAUCCUUUAGCGAGCAAGGAAACAGCUUAAGGAUAUAGUAGUGGCGGAUCUUUUCCUCACUCGUGAAUAGGGUGGCUAUAUCAUGCAGCUUAGUAAGAUGUGCUACAACCGUUUCAGACUCAUAACCAUGAAAAGGAUCAGAUUCGACCAAAGUGAGUAACUCAGGGUCGACAAAGAAUUCAUAAUCCUUAUCGGUCACAAAGAUAGGCGAAGUAGAAAACUUCGGGUCGUAUUUCAUCCUAGCGUUCAGAGAUUUUUCUUUCCACUUGCGCAGUAAAUUCUCAAGAUCAUAGCUAUCCUUACAAGCAAGAAAGUCCUCAGCUAUCUCUCCCUCCAUAACAUAACCCUUUGGUAUAUCAGGCAAUUCAUAUCUAGGAGAGCUAGUUCUAACAGGUGAUAUAGGAGGUUCUACUUCAAUAAUCUCAGCAGUUUCAAAAGUAUCAUCACAUUCNNNNNNNNNNNNNNNNNNNNNNNNNNNNNNNNNNNNNNNNNNNNNNNNNNNNNNNNNNNNNNNNNNNNNNNNNNNNNNNNNNNNNNNNNNNNNNNNNNNNACUCCCGGAGAUGACCAUAGUAUGAGGAGUUCAUGUAUUCACUAAGUGCCAAUUCUUUGUUCCAGUUCUCUAUUAAAAGGAGAACCUUAAUAUCCCUAGUUUCCAUUGGGACCCCGCUGCAUGGGAGGGAUGGACAAUAGAUGUCAUGCAAGUUCUUUUCAUAAGCACGUAUGACUAUAUACGGAAUACAUGCCUACAUUACAUUGACGAACUAGAGCUAGUUACAUAUCUCCCCAUGUUAUAACUGUUGCAUGAUGAAUGUCAUCCGACAUUAUUAUCCAUCACCGAUCCAAUGCCCAUGAGUUUUUCCUACUGGUCCUUGCUACGUUACUUUGCCGCUACUACUGUCACUGCUGCUAUUGUUACCGCUACUGCUGUCACUGCUGCUAUUGUUACCGCUACUGCUGUCACUGCUGCUAUUGUUACCACUACUGCUAUCACUGCUGUUAGUGUUACCGUUGCUGCUCUUGCUAUCACACUACUUUGCUACUGAAACUUUGCUGCACAUACUAAGUCUUUCAGGUGUGGUUGAAUUGACAACUCAACUGCUAAUACUCGAGAAUAUUCUUUGGCUUCCCCUUGUGUCAAAUCAACAAAUUUGGGUUGAAUACUGUACCCUCGAAAACUGUUGCGAUCCCCUAUACUUGUGGGUUAUCAAGACUAUUUUCUCGCGCCAUUGCCGGGGAGGCAGUGCUCUAUUCUCUGAGUCACUUGGUAUUUACGUCUGUUGAUCACUAUGAGGAAUCUGAAAGAUCCAAAAACUAAAGUCUUGCCCUCAACUACGAGGACAGGUUAGGAACUGCCAUCUAGCUCUGCACUUGACUCACCUUCAGUUAUGAGUAAGUUUGCGACACCACCGCCUGCUAGAAAUUCUGAUAUGUCGCCUGUGCUUGAUGAUGCUACUUCUGCUAUCCAUGAUGCUUGUGAUGAUGCUUUGCUUGAUACUGCCUUGCCACUAGGUGCAUUCCUAGAUGCACAAAUUACUAGAGUUGCUGCUGAAUGUGAUGAUACUUUUGAAACUGCUGAGAUUAUUGAAGUAGAACCUGCUACUAUGCCUGAAUUGCCUAUUAUGCCUGAACGUUAUGUCAUGGAGGGAGAGAUAGCUGAGGACUUUCUUGCGUGUAAGGAUAGCUAUGAUGUUGAGAAACUACUACUCAAGUGGAAAGAAAAAUCUCUGAACGCUAGGAUGAAAUACGACCCGAAGUUUGCAACUUCGCCUAUCUUUGUGACCGAUAAGGAUUAUGAAUUCUCUGUCGACCCUGAGUUAAUCACUCUGGUAGAAUCUGAUCCUUUUCACGGUUAUGAGUCUGAAACGGUUGUAGCCCAUCUUACCAAACUGCACGAUAUAGCCACCCUAUUCACUAGUGAGGAAAAGAUCCGCCACUACUAUAUCCUCAAGCUGUUUCCUUUCUCGCUAAAGGAUGAUGCUAAGACCUGGUUCACUUCUCUUGCUCCUGGAUGUGUGCAUAGCCCCCAGGAUAUGGUCUACUAUUUCCCUGAAAAAUAUUUCCCUGCCCAUAAGAAGCAAGCUGCCUUGCAGGAAAUAUACAACAUUGCUCAAGCUGAGGAAGAGAGUCUCCCACAAGCUUGGUGGAGGCUCAUCCAGCUACUAAAUGCUUUGCCUGAUCACCCUCUUGAGAAGAAUAAAUUACUUGAUAUCUUCUAUAAUGGACUUACCGAUGCUUCCAAAGACCACCUAGAUAGUUGUGCCGGUUGUGUUUUUAGGCAACAAACCGUAGAACAAGCUGAGAUUCUAUUGAAUAACAGCUUGUGCAAUGAGAAUGCUUGGACUAUUCCCGAACCACCUCCUAAGCCAACUCCGAAGAAAAGAGGUAUUCUAUUCCUCAGUCCUGAAGAUACGCAAGAAUCCAAGAAAUCUAUGCGAGAGAAAGGCAUUAAAUCUGAAGAUGUCAAAAAUCUACCACCUAUCGAAGAGAUCCAUGGUCUCGAUAACCCGAUACAGGUAGUAGAAGUAAAUUCUCUGCGUAGGUUUGAUGAGAGUGAUAUUCCUUUUGAUAAACCUGCUAGCUUAUGCAUGGAUGAAUUUGAUAACUUUGUUGCCAAACAACAGAGUUUCAAUGAUUAUGUUAGCAGACAAUUGGAACAGAAUGCUCGUAUGCUUAGUCAUUUAAGUGCUUGUGUGGACAGAAAUGUCAAUGAUCUUAAGCUUCUGAGUAAACAUGCCUCUAUGGUUACUACUCAGGUAGAACAAGUACUUAAAGCUCAGAAUGACUUGCUCAAUGAGUUGAAUGACAAUUCCGUUAGAGUCGUCACUAGAGGCGGUAGAAUGACCCAGGAACCUUUGUAUCCUGANNNNNNNNNNNNNNNNNNNNNNNNNNNNNNNNNNNNNNNNNNNNNNNNNNNNNNNNNNNNNNNNNNNNNNNNNNNNNNNNNNNNNNNNNNNNNNNNNNNNAAAGAAACUAGGUGAUCCCGGUGUGCCCACUAUACCUUGCUCCAUUAAAGGUAACUAUGUGAGAACUGCGCUAUGCGAUCUUGGAGCCAGUGUUAGUGGUAUGCCUCUCUCUCUCUUUAUCGUAGACUUGAACUGGAUAAAUUGACACCCACUGAAAUCUCUCUGCAAAUGGCCGACAAAUCAACUGCUUUCCCUAUCGGCAUUUGCGAGGAUGUGCCUGUUGUGGUUGCUAACGUCACCAUCUUAACAGACUUUGUUAUCUUGGAUAUUCCUGAGGACGAUGCCAUGGCGGUCAUCCUUGGAAGACCCUUUUUAAACACUGCAGGGGUUGUUAUAGAUAGCAACAAACGCAAUGUCACUUUCCAUGUCAACGGUAAUGAGCAUACGGUGCACUUUCCGAAGAAACAAUAUCAAGUAUAUUGCAUCAAUGCUAUCUAAAAAACUUCAUCGAUUCUUAUUGGGAGCUUUGAAUGCCCUAUUCGUCGUGUCAAGAUGAAGUAUGAUUUGCUUGUUGGCGAGAUACAUAUCCCCAUUGAGGUGACGUAGUGACUAUUCGAAAAUUAUCCGUUCCCUUUUGCGAUGCGAAAAGGUUGUCGAGGAGACUUGAUCAACCUCAUUAGUGGAAUUUCUUUCGAUGACCAUGAGAUGGAUGAAUCAAGGAGUCACAAACCUCUGUUCCAAGCUUUCACCUUCGGUUGCUUAGAAGAAAAAUGAUAGAUUUAGUUUAUUUUUCCCUAUUUUCUGUUUUUGCGUCCGGUGGAAAAGUACCCCGAAAAUAAAAGUUCUCCGAACGUCCUGAAAAUCAAGUAUGAUUUUUUAUGGAAUUUUUGAAAAAUUCUGAGAUAAAGAGCUUGUCUGGGGGCCACACCAGUGGGCCACAAGCCCUAGGGGCGCGGGCACCCCCCCUGGCCGCACAACCCAGGCUUGUGGGGCCCACAGGCACCCCCUCCACUCAUUCUUGCUCUCAUAUGGUUCUCCUACCUCCAGAAAAAAAUCAUAUUGCAGCUCAAACCCGUGUUCUUGCUCCUCUUGCUGGGAUUUUCGAUCUCUUUGCUCAAAUCACCGUUCUCCGAACUGUUUUGGGGAAUUACUCCUCGGUAAGUAACUCCUCCAUUGGUCCAAUUAGUUUUUGCUCUAGUGCCUUAUACUCCACGUAUUUUUGCUGCCUUGGUGACCAUGUUCUUGAGCUUUGCAUGAUAAUUCUAGCUGGUCCCAAGUAGUUUUGAUGCGUAAUAUGGUCUCUAGGCACUGGUAGGAGUAGUUGCUACGAAUUUCGUUGGGCCUUAUUCACUUUUCCUUAGAAUCACUGAAAAUUUCAGAAAUUUUCAGAGAUAGAAAAGGGAAAAGAUGAGGAGGUUCUUAAUAGGCUCGUCAAGCCGUGACCCCAAGGAUGAUGGGAGUGAGAAGAAGCCCAAGUAUCUGGUCCCUCGAGUCACAGAAGUUCGAGCUUGCGAGUGGCCAAGCGACAUGUUCUUACGCACCGCUGGAAUUUAUGAGGACUUUUAUCACUUGGUGGAAAACGCAGGCCUUACCGCCUUCGUUGAAGAUAAGUGUCUGCAAUACCUCCUCCUCACUAAUAUCUUCGUACAAAGCUUUAACUUUUAUCCGAGGAAGAAUCCUCUUAUGGUUGAGUUCAAACUUUAUGAUAUCCCCCAGCGCAUGUCACUCCAGGAUUUUUGCAAUGUCUGCAAAUUACCUUACAUUGGGGAUAUUCAUGAACCUCGUCCACGGGACUUGGAAGCUUUCAUCGAUACAAUUGUUGUAGGAGAGGAAAGAGGAGUGUCCUACGCUAGAGCUGCUAGCAUUCAUUUUCCCGUGCUUCGGUACUUCUCAUUAUUUAUGGGAAAAUGUUUGAUUGGUCGUGGGAAAGCUGGGUCACUUAAUUCCCCGGAUCUUGCGGUCUUGCUUGAAGCCCUUUAUAACGAUAAAACUUAUAGCUUGGGCGCUAUAGUAGCUCAACGGUUGAACUUGAACCAUUCUAAAGGUGUUGUCUAUGGAGGUAUCUAUGCUACUCAUCUUGCUAGACACUUUCAGAUACACAUUAGACUAGAGGAAGAAGAAGAGGUUCUUCUUCCCGAGAGAUAUCUCGAUUACGAUAGCAUGGUUCGCCAUGACUUUCUUGAUAGAGACAUAAGUAGAAGGAUGAUUUAUAACCUGGUAUUUAGUCAGGGUACUCGUGAGACUAUUACUUUGCCUGCUCCUUCUUUGUUCAAUCUUCAUGCACGCACGUACAUUAUUAUGCCCUCGGAAAUCUAUGCAUAUUGGCGCUUAGCCCAACCACAGGUGCCCGUGCCCGAGCCACCAGUCGAGUACGAGACGUCGGUUUAUCAGUGGGAGCCAGAGGAGCUCACACAGAAGUGGCACCCUCAGUCCACUCCGGAGUACCCCGGAGCUGGUUAUUUCCCUCCUUGGGAGUAGACCAACUUAGGCCAAAAGCCUAAGCUUGGGGGAGUACGUGUUUCUCACCGACUUUACAUUCUUACUUAUGCUUUCACUUUUUUCGUCGGUGUUCACACUUUGCCACUGUAUCAUCCAUGCUAGUUUAUUUUCUUUUUCCCGUUUUCUUUUUGUGUGUCUGUCUAGUUUGAGAAAACCCAAAAAGAUUUUAUUUUUCUUCUUUUGCUUGUUGGGAGCUUUCCCAUGUAAAUAGUUUUCUUUUUCUUUGGGUCAAGGUAGAGGAUAUUGGUUACAAUGUUUAGUGGCUCUUGCAUGCAUACCUGUUUAGCUUUCAAAGAGCCAUAUUACUUUGUCUUCUCCUUCGUGUUUGCCUGCAGAUUCGAACAUAGUCCAAUGCACGAGCACGCUUAUUAUUGUUCACUUCGUUCGAUCGUGCAAGUGAAAGGCAAUAAUGACGAUAUAUGAUGAAGUGACUGAGCCUGGAAAAGCUGGUAUGAAGUCGAUCUAUUUUGUUUUUGUAAAUAUGACUAGCUCAUCAUGCCUGAUUCAGCUUUGUUGUGAAAGAAACAUGUUUGCAAUGACAACUUAGAGAUCAUAGUUUCUUAUGCCAUGCUUACUUAGCUAGGAGCUCAUAAUGGUUUGUCUUGGAUGCCCACAUGAAUGUUGAGAUGAUUGUGUUGUAGUAUGAUAGGAUGGUAUCCUCCUUUGAAUGAUUCAAGUGGCUUGACUUGGCGCAUGUUCACGCAUGUAGUUGAAACAAAAUCAACAUAGCCUCUAUGAUGUUCAUGUUCAUGGUGAUUUAUGUCCUACUCAUGCUUGCACUCAAUGUUAGUUAAUCUCAAUGCAUUUUGAUGACUGUUCUCGCUCUCUAGUUGGUCGCUUCCCAGUCUUUUGCUAGCCUUCACUUGUACUAAGUGGGAAUAUUGCUUGUUUAUCCACUCCCAUAAACCCAAAGUUGUGCCAUAUGAGUCCACCAUACCUACCUAUAUGCGGUAUCUACCUGCCAUUCCAAGUAAAUUUGCAUGUGCCACUCUCUAAACCUUCAAGAAAUAAUCUGUUUUGCAUGCCCGAACCACUCAUGUGGUGACAGGGGGCUAUUGGUAUCUUCCAUGCUAGGCGUGUUAUCCUCGAUAUGUGUUUAUUCACUAUCAUUCACGGGAAAGGGGCUGGUAAUUGGAAUUCCCAGUACCAUACUCAAAUCGAAAAGAUAAUUGCAAAUAAAACUCCCCCGGGAUUGAUGUUGGUAUGGACGGUACCCGAGGCGUGGAGUGUGAUUGAUUGGUGGUGGAGGAGUCAAAACUUUACUUUUCUGUUUGGGAACCGCCUAUAGCAUGUGUAGCAUGGAACAUGUUGAGAACUCUUAGUCAUUGUGUUGACAAUGAAAGCAUGCCACCCAAAAUUAUUAUCUCUGUUUUCAAAGCUUGAGCUCUGGCACCUCUGCAAAUCAAUGCUUCCCUAUGCGAAGGGCAUGUCUAUUUAUGUUCCUGUUGAGUCAUCCUACUCUUAUAAAAGCACCAAUUAGAGAGCACCCCUAUCAUUUUUAUGCUUUACUUUUAACUGUGUUGAGUGUGACUAUGAAUGGAUCUUCAUUGCCUUGAAUUACAAUGUUUAGUCAGCCUUGGUCUUUGAAGGUGCUCUGCAUUUAUGUUUUGUGGUCUCAGAAAGAGCUAGUGAGAUACCAUCUAUUCGUGUUGCUUCAUGAUUGUUUUGAUUGAAGUGUUGACAUUUGAGACUUAUUAUUAUUUGCUCGCUAGCUGAUUAUGACAUUGAUAUGAGUUUACCGUGAGACCUAGAUGUCAUUUGCUUAUGUGGCUUGCUUGUGAUGUUGCUGAAAUUCUGGUUAUGAGUUAGACAUAGUUGCAACCACAAGAUCAAACGGAGUUCGUCAAAGUUUUUCUUUUGUCUCUUUCAGUUUGUCAACUGAAUUGCUUGAGGACAAGCAAGGCUUUAAGCUUGGGGGAUUNNNNNNNNNNNNNNNNNNNNNNNNNNNNNNNNNNNNNNNNNNNNNNNNNNNNNNNNNNNNNNNNNNNNNNNNNNNNNNNNNNNNNNNNNNNNNNNNNNNNACAUUCUCAACAACCACUUACUUAGCAGACAUUUAUUCUUCACCUCUGAAUUCUCAAUUCCCAGACCACCUUGGUAUUUUGGCCUACAGAAAAUGUCCCAUCUAGUUAGUUUGUAUUUCUUCUUAUCCUCAUUAGUCUGCCAAAAAAAUNNNNNNNNNNNNNNNNNNNNNNNNNNNNNNNNNNNNNNNNNNNNNNNNNNNNNNNNNNNNNNNNNNNNNNNNNNNNNNNNNNNNNNNNNNNNNNNNNNNNNNNNNNNNNNNNNNNNNNNNNNNNNNNNNNNNNNNNNNNNNNUCGGUACCUCAAAGGAGAGGAGGAACAUAGGCAUACUCGUCAGAAUCGAGUUAAUAAGAAUUAGUCUAACUCCAUAUGAGAGCAGCUUGCCCUUCCAGCAACUUAGCUUUUUCUCAAAUCGAUCUUCUAUGCAUUUCCACUCGUUAUUGGAAAGCUUCCGAUGAUGAAUAGGUAUGCCUAGAUAGCUGAACGGUAGGCUCCCCAUUUCACACCCGAACAAUUGUCUAUAUGUGUUUGGUUCAUCUUUGGUUUUCCCAAAGAAAAACAACUCACUCUUAUGGAAAUUUAUUUUCAGACCACACAAGUGUUCAAAUAGACAGAGUAUAAGUUUCAUAUUCCUAGCUUUUGCUAUAUCAUGCUCCAUAAACNNNNNNNNNNNNNNNNNNNNNNNNNNNNNNNNNNNNNNNNNNNNNNNNNNNNNNNNNNNNNNNNNNNNNNNNNNNNNNNNNNNNNNNNNNNNNNNNNNNNGUUGUCAAUCCCUUCACGAUUAAUUGCAAGGUGAGAUCUGAAGGUGGAAAGUGCAACAAAGUAAAAGUGUAGAGCUGAAAAUAUGAUGUGAAGCAGACCCGGGGGCCAUAGUGUUCACUAGAGGCUUCUCUCAUGAUAGCAAGUAUUACGGUGGGUGAACGAAUUACCGUCAAGCAAUUGAUAGAACCGCGCAAAGUCAUGAUGAUAUCUAAGGCAAUGAUAAUACAUAUAGGCAUCACGUCCGAGACAAGUAGACUGAUACUGUCUGCAUCUACUACUAUUACUCCACACAUCGACAGCUAUCCAGCAUGCAUCUAGUGUAUUGAGUUCAUAACAAAUAGAGUAACGCAUUAAGCAAGAUGACAUGAUGUAGAGGGAUAGAUUCAUGCAAUAGAUAUAAACCCCAUCUUUUUACCCUUGAUGGCAACAACACGAUGCGUGCCUCACUACCCCUUGUGUCACUGGGUGAGGACACCGCACGGUAUGAACCCAAAACCAAGCACUUCUCCCAUUGCAAGAAUUAUAGAUCAAGUUGGCCAAACGAAACGCACAACUCGAAGAGAAUUACAAGGAUACGAAAUCAUGCAUAUAAGAGACNNNNNNNNNNNNNNNNNNNNNNNNNNNNNNNNNNNNNNNNNNNNNNNNNNNNNNNNNNNNNNNNNNNNNNNNNNNNNNNNNNNNNNNNNNNNNNNNNNNNCUCUUAUUAAUUGCAACAAUGACUGAGGUCUAUGUUGAUUUAUUCUCAACAAGUUUCAAUCAUCAUACUUGUCAUAAGUGAAGUUAUCACUUUCCAUAAGAUCGUCUCAUGAUCUUUCAUGCUAUCUUUCUUUUCAUACUUUUGAUCAUGGCACAAAGCAAAGCCCUUGACUAAGACACUCUUUAUUAUAUAGCUCGUAAGCUCGAAUACAUAGGGGGAGAGACAAAAGUAAAAGACGCAAACUAAAAACUAAAGACUUAUUCCUCUAAAAUAAGAAAUAAAAACUGAAAAGGAAAGAACUAAAACAAAGGUAAAAGCAAAAGAUAUAAAGGUGAAACGAUACCACGGCAACUCCCCCAAGCUUGGCAGAAGCCAAGGGGAUUGCCCAUACCAAUGCUUAGUUGUCUUCCUUUGGUGGUGAUGGUGGUGUUGUUGGAGUAGUCUGAUCCUCCGUCUUCCAAGGCAUAUGUGCUCCAUCAUGGCAGGAUGAACGAGUAGCCGGAAUCCUCAAAUCUGCAGCCAACCUUAUUGAUUUAAAUCUGUACUCAUACUCACAGUUUUGAUUCUGCAGGUCAUAGAUCUGGCCCUGAAGUUGGUCAACCCUAUCGUAAAGCCUAGAGAGGUGUUUCCCAAUAUCAAUGGCAUCCAUCUUGUGAUUGCUAGUGAAGUCCGUGAUCAUCGUGUGGUUGGCGUUGAGUCCAUGCUCAACCAUCCCUUGGCACUUGAAGAUUUGUUGCUCCAUUGCUUCGAGCCUCGUCUCCAUGCUUCCGGUCUUCUUAGGCCCCUCAACAUCACGGAUGUGCAACAUCCCCUCGCUCAUCUUGAUAGAUUGAGGGUGUUUCAGCACUUCCAUGAGGUAAGGAUUGAUGACCUUCUCGAAGAUCUUGUCCUUAGGAGCGUUUGGGGAAGUCAUGAUCAUCUAGAUCUGCGGCAAAAACAGGCUCGAAACGAAAACAAAGGAAAUCUAAGCGAUACAGAGAUCAAAACCUUCGGGCAACCAUAUAUUGAUUUUUUCUGGACCAGAAGGAGUCCUCCGCAAGAAAACGGAGUCCGGGAGGCAGACGAGGUGCCCACAAGCUUGCCCACCGCCACCAGGGGGAUGGUGGCGGAGUGGGCCCUUGUGGCUGCCUCGUUUGCUCUCCGGACUGUUUUUUAUUUUUUAUUUUUCCAAAAAUUCCAAAACUGAGGAAAUUUCCUAUUGGAAAAGCAUCGGAGUCCAAUUUCUUGCCGAAACAGAUACAUCUUCGUUUUCAAGGUCUGAAACAGGCUGAUAAACAUCCCUUAUGUACUCCUCUUGAGUUAUAACAUUGAUGAUAUUGGUCUCAACAUUUAUUGGAGUACCAGAGAUGUAAUGCUUGAUUCUUUGCCCAUUUACCACUCUAGGAAAAUUUCCUUCCGUGUUAUUGAUUUUGAUGGCACCGGAAUGAUAUACUUCCUCAACAACAUAGGGACCUUCCCAUUUAGAGAGAAGCUUGCAUGCNNNNNNNNNNNNNNNNNNNNNNNNNNNNNNNNNNNNNNNNNNNNNNNNNNNNNNNNNNNNNNNNNNNNNNNNNNNNNNNNNNNNNNNNNNNNNNNNNNNNUCUUUGGUGCUCAAACCAUAAGUGGCCCUCAUCAUGGAUUCAUAAGGCAAUCUUAUUUUCUUUCUAGGAAAGUGUUACAUGCCCUUCCUUAAAGGAAAUUGAAAUCUAAURUUCCCUUCCUUCAUAUCRAUGAUAGCACYRAUAGUCCUWAGGAAAGGUCUACCAAGAAURAURGGRCAUGUMGGAUUGCAAUCAAURUSAAGCAYAAUGAAAUCCACGGGUACAUAGUUCCUAUUUUAAAUAAUAAGAACAUCAUUGAUCCUUCCCAUAGGUUUCUUAACAGUAGAAUCCGCAAGAUGCAAAUUAAGAGAGCGCUCAUCAAUCUCGUUGAAGCCUAGAACAUCACAUAAAGACUUUGGAAUAGCGGAAACACUAGCACCCAAAUCACACAAAGCAUUGAAUUCAUAGUUUUUAAUCUUGAUUUUUAUAGUAGGUUCCCACUCAUCAUGAAUUUUUCUAGGAAUAGGAACUUCCAACUCAAGUUUCUCUCCAAGAGAUUUCAUCAUAGCAUUAACGAUAUGAUCGGUAAAGCCUUUUUUGGCUAUAAGCAUGUGGAGAGUAUAGCAUGGAUUGCAUCAAGGAAAUACAUUCAAUCAAAGAGAAACUAUCAUAAUUGAAUUCCUUGAAAUCCAAAGUAGUAAUUUCAUUACUACUCAAAGUUUUGAUAUCCUCUAUUCCACUUUCAGUGCUUUUAGCAUCAAGAUAGAUAGACUCCGAAUCAUUGGGGGCGUUUCUCAACCAAAGUGGAUUCAUAUCCAGCCCCUUCAUCAUUAGGAUUGACAUUAGAAAACAAUGAUUCAAUAGGAGUCACACCAAGCACUUUAAGAUCUUCGUGAUUCUCAUCACGAGAACACGCCUUUUUAAGCCAUUCAUGUCUAGCACGAAUUUGGGAGGUUCUUCCUUUACUCUCAUUCAUGGAAGCACGCAUAGCUUUCAAAGUUUCAUCCAURUUUAUUUUGGGAGGAGCACAUCUAACUUUCAAAGCAUCAACAUCACUAGACAUUCUAUCAACGCUCUUAGCCAAAUCGUCAAUUUUGAGUAGCUUUUCCUCUAUGGACGCAUUGGAAAUCUUUUGAGAGUUGAUGAACUCUUUGAUAUUACUCUCUAGAUCAGAGGGUAAUCUAUUGUAAUUUCCAUGAGUAUUGUUGUAGGAGUUGCCAAAAUUAUUAGAGGAGUUACUAGGAAAAGGCCUUGGAACAUAGUUUCCUCUAAAAGCAUUGUUGUUGCCAAAGUUAUUCCUACCAACAAAAUUAACGUCCAAGCUAGCGUUGCUACUCUCAAUCAAAGAAGACAAGGGCAUAUCAUUAGGAUCCAAAGGAGCACUUCUACUAGCAACCAAAUUCAUGAUAUCAUUACGGAGAGAGAUAAUCUUAGCCGGCGGAAAAUACUUGGACAUAUAAGCAUCUUUGCACUUAUCCCAAGAAUCAAUACUAUUUUUGGGCAAAGAAGAAAACCAAGUUUUUGCGCGAUCUCGCAACGAGAAAGGAAAAAGCUUCAAUUUAAUCACGUCAUUAUCCACAUCUCUCUUCUUUUGCAUAUCGCAAAGCUCAAUGAAGGUAUUGAGAUGGGAUGCGGCAUCUUCACUAGGAAGGCCGGAGAAUUGCUCUUUCAUAACAAGAUUCAGCAAAGCGGCAUUGAUUUCGUAAGACUCCGCACUAGUGGCGGGAGAAUCGGAGUACUAAUAAAAUCAUUAUUAUUAGWWUUGAGAAGUCACAAAGUUUGGUGUUUUCAUUCAUGGUGACUUAGGCAAGCAAGCAACCACACAAGAAAACAAAGAGCAAGCAAGGAUAAAGGGUGAACGGAAAGGCGAACGAAAAAGGCAAAUUGUGAAGUGGGGGGAGGAAAACGAGAGGCAACUAGCAAACAAAGUAAAUGCAAGAGAUGAGUUUGCGACACCUACUUGGAUGACUUCUUGACUUGAUCUUCCUCCCUGGCAACGGUGCCAUAAAUUCUUCUACUACGGCAACAAACAACAGCGCCAGAAAUUGACACGUUGACGGAGACUGGGCUUGCGUUGGUUUUUCCCUUGAAGAGGAAAGGGUGAUGCAGCACAGGAGCAGUAAGUAUUUCCCUUAGUUUGAGAACCAAGGUAUCGAUCCAGAAGGAGGGUCUCGUCAAGUCCAGAGUACCCGCGCAAACACAAACAAGCUUGCACCCAACGCUUCAAAGGGGUUGUCAAUCCCUUCAAGAUUGUUUGCAAAGUGAGAUCUGAAGGCGGAAAGUGCAACGAAGUAAAAAAGUGUAAGGCUGAAAAUAUGGUGUGGAGUAGACCCGGGGGCCAUAGUGUGCACUAGAGGCUUCUCUCAACCUAGCACUUCUCCCAUUCCAAGAAUCAUAGAUCUAGUUGGCCAGGCAAAACCCACAACUCGAAGAGAAUUACAAGGAUAUGAAAUCAUGCAUAAGAGAGAUCAGAAGAAACUCAAAUAAGAUUCAUAGAUAAUCUGAUCAUAAAUCCACAAUUCAUCGGAUCUCGACAAACACGCCGCAAAAGAAGAUUACAUCAGAUAGAUCUCCAUGAAGAUCAUGGAGAACUUUGUAUUGCGGAUCCAAGAGAGAGAAGAAGCCAUCUAGUUACUAGCUAUGGACCCGUAGGUCUAUGGUGAACUACUCACGCAUCAUCGGAGAGGUCAUGGUGUUGAUGAAGAAGCCCUCCGUAUCCGAAUCCCCCUCUGGCAAGGCACCAGAASRUAGCCCCAGAUGGGGAUAUUUGCGGAGACAAAAUCUUGCGGCGGCGGAAAAGUACUUUCGAUGAUCUCCUAAAUUUUUUUGGGGAUUUUUUAGGGGAAUAUAUAGGCGCAACCCCUAGGGCAAAGGGCGUCCAGGGGGCCACAAGCCUGUGGGCCGCAGCCUCUCCCCCUGGCCGCGGGGUGAGGGCUUGUGGGGCCCCUGGGCCCCCCUGCCUUGGCUCUCAAGUCUCUUGAUCUUCUUCCGUUAUGGGAAAAUUCUUUUCGGGGAUUUUAUUCUGUUUGGACUCCGUUUCAAAAUCUCCUCUGAAAGGGGUCAAAAACAUGGAAAAACACAAGUUGGCACUUGGUACUGAUUUAAUAAGUUAGUCCCAAAAAAAUAUAUAAAAGGCAUGCAAAACAUCCAAAGUCUGACAAGAUAAUAGCAUGAAACCAUCAAAAAGUAUAGAUACGUUGGAGACGUAUCAGUGGAGGGGGAGUAAAAACUUUACUAUUCUCUUUGGGAACCGCCUAUAAUGUAUCUAGCAUGGAAGAUAUUGAGAUCUCUUAGUUGUUAUGUUGACAAUGAAAGCAUACCGCCCAAAAUUUUGAUUCACCCCUGUUUUAAAAGCUCGAGCUCUGGCACCUCUGUAAAUUAAUGCUUCCCUGUGUGAAGGGCCUAUCUAUUUUACUUUACUGUUGAGUCAUCCUCUUCUUAUAAAAAGGCACUAGUUAGAGAGCACCCCCAUCAUUUGUAUGCUUUGGUAUUAAUUGAUAUUGAGUAUGAGUAUGACUAAAUCUCUUUUACCAUGAAUUACAAUGUCCUGUCAGUCCUUGUUCUUCGGAGGUGCUCUGCAUUUAUGUUUUGCGAUCUCAAAAAGGGCUAGCGAGAUACCAGUUUAUCAUAUUGUAUUAUGAUUGUUUUGAUAAAAUUGUUGUCAUCUGAGACUUAUUAUUAUUUCUCGCUAGUUGAUUACGCCGUUGAUACAAGUAAAUGUGAUACCUAAAAUAUUAUUGUGAAUGCGGUUAGUCUAUAAUCGUAGGUGAAGAUCCAAACAUCAGUUAGACAUAUUUACAACAGCAAGAUCAAACAGAGUUUGUAAAAGUUUUUAUUUAUCACUUUCAGUUUAUCAACUGAAUUUAUUGAGGACAAGAAAAGGUUUAAACUUGGGGGAGUUGAUACGUCUCCAACUUAUCUACUUUUCCAAACUCUUUUGGCCUUGUUUUGGACUCUAAUUUGGAUGAUUUGAAUGGAACUAACCCGGACUAACGCUGUUUUCAGCAGAGUUACCUUGGUGUUAUUUUUGUGUAGAAAUAAAAGUUCUCGGAUUGACCUGAAAAUUUAUGGAGAAUAUUUUUGGAACUAAUAAAAAAUAUUGGAGAAAGAACCAACCGGAGAGGGGCCACCACCCGGCGACAAGCAUGCAGGGCGCCGCCCCCCUAGGGCGCCCCCUGGCAUGUGGGGCCCCUGUGGCUCCUCCAACCUUGUUUCCACUUCUAUAUACUCCUAUUCGAGGAGAAAAAAAUCAGAGAGAAGAUUUCAUCAUUUUUUACGGUAUGGAGCCGCCGCCACCUCGUGUUUUUCCUCGGGAGGGCAGAUCUGGAGUCUGAUUUGGGAUCCGGAGAGGGGAAAUCAACGCCGUCGUCAUCAUCAUCCGUCCUUCAUCACCAAUUUCAUGAUGCUCUUGGUCGUUCAUGAGUAAUUCCAUCGUAGGCUUGCUGGACGGUGAUGGGUUGGAUGAGAUCCAUCAUGUAAUCGAGUCAGUUUUGUUAGGGUUUGAUCCCUAGUAUCCACUAUGUUCUGAGAUUGAUGUUGCUAUGACUUUGCUAUGCUUAAUGCUUGUCACUAGGGCCCGAGUGCCAAGAUUUACGAUCUGGACCUAUUAUAUUUUCAUGAAUAUAUAUGUGUUCUUGAUACUAUCUUGCAAGUUGUAGACACCUAUUACGAGUUAUGAUCCGCAUCCCCCAGGGUGACAAUAACUGUGAUUCUUUCCGAUCAUUACCGUAGUUUGAGGAGUUCAUGUAUUCACUAAGUUCUAAUGCUUUCGUCCGAUUCUCUAUUUAAAAGGAAGCCUUAAUAUCCCUUAGUUUCCAUUAGGAGCCCGCUGCCACGGGAGGGUAGGACAAAAGAUGUCAUGCAAGUUCUUUUCCAUAAGCAUGUAUGACUAUAUAUGGAAUACAUGCCUACAUUACGUUGAUGAAUUGGAGCUAGUUUUGUAUCACCCUAUGUUAUGUCUGUUGUAUGAUGAAUGCCAUCCGACAUAAUUAUCCAUCACUGAUCCAUUGCCUACGAGCUUUCCACAUAUUGAUCUUUGUUAAGUUACUUUUUCGUUGGUAUUAUUACGAUCACUACAAAACUGCUACUAUCACGUUUGCCACCGUUAUCGUUACUUCCAUACUACUUUGCUACUAAAUACUUUGCUGCAGAUAUUAAGUCUUUCACGUGUGGUUGAAUUGACAACUCAGCUGCUAAUACUCAAGAAUAUUGUUCGGCUCCCCUUGAGUCGAAUCAAUAAAUUUGGGUUGAAUACUCUACCCUCGAAAACUGCUGCGAUCUCCUGUACUUGUGGGUUAUCAAGACCUUUUUCUGGCGCCGUUGCCGGGGAGCAUAGCUUUAUUCUCUGGGUCACUUGGAAUUUAUAUAUGCUGAUCACAAUGAAGAAUUUGAAAGACGCUAAAAACCAUAAUAUACCCCUCAACUACGAGGACAGGUAAGGAACUGCGAUCUAGCUUUGCACUUGAUUCACCGUCUGUUAUGAGUAAAUUUGCGACACCACCACCUGCUACUGAAUCUAAUAUGUCGCAAGUAAUUGAUGAUGCUACUUCUGCUACACAUGUUUAUUAUGAUGAUACUUUGCUUGAUACUAUUGUGCCACUUGGUGAAUUUCUUGAUGAACAAAUUGCUAGAGUGAAUGCUGAAACGAUGAUACUACUGAAUCUGAUGAAAUUAGUGAAACUGAACACUAUGAUGCACCUGUUAGACCUAGCUCUCCUAGAUACGAAUUGCCUAAUAUACCUAAAGGUUAUGUUAUGGAAGGAGAGGUGGCCUGGGACUCUCUUGCUUGUAAGGAUAGAGCUGAUCUUAAGAAAUUGCUAUGCAAGUGGAAGGAAAAAAAUCUCUGAAUGCUAGAAUGAAUAAGAUCCCAAGUUUGUUACUUCACCCAUCUUUGUUACUGAUAAGGAUUAUGAAUUCUCUGUCGAUCCUAAGUUAAUUACUUUUAUAGAAUCUCAUCCUUUCCAUGGUUAUGAAUGUGAAACUGUUGUGGCACACCUUACUAAAUUGAAUGAUAUAGCCACCCUAUUUACUCAUGAGGAAAAAAAUCGUUAUUACUAUAUUCUUAAGUUGUUUCUGUUCUCAUUAAAGGGUGAUGCUAAGAUAUGGUUUUAAUUCUCUUGCUCAUGGUUGUGUGCGUAGUCCCAAGGAUAUGAUAUUUUACUUCUCUGAAAAGUAUUUUCCUGUCCAUARRAACAUGUUGCCUUGCAGAAAAUAUUUAACUUUGUGCAUACUGAAGAAGAGAGUCUCCCACAAGCUUUGGGGAGUCUUCUCCAGUUGCUUAAUUCUUUUCCUGGUCACCUUCUCAAGAAAAAUGAAAUACUUGAUAUCUUUUAUAAUGGACUAACCGAUGCUUCUAGGGACNNNNNNNNNNNNNNNNNNNNNNNNNNNNNNNNNNNNNNNNNNNNNNNNNNNNNNNNNNNNNNNNNNNNNNNNNNNNNNNNNNNNNNNNNNNNNNNNNNNNCCUGAAUUUAUCCCUCUACAUCAUGUCAUCUUGCUUAAAGGCGUUACUCUGUUUGUUAUAAACUUAAUACACUAGAUGCAUGUUGGAUAGCGGUCGAUGUGUGGAGUAAUAGUAGUAGAUGCAGAAAGUAUCGGUCACUUUUCUCGGACGUGAUGCCUAUAUGUAUGAUCAUUGCCUUAGAUAUCAUCAUGACUUUGCGCGGUUCUAUCAAUUGAUCGACGGUAAUUCGUUCACCCACCGUAAUACUUGCUAUGAUGAGAGAAGUCCCUAGUGAACACUAUGGCCCCCGGGUCUACUUCACACAUAUUUUCAUCCUUACACUUUUACUUUGUUGCACUUUACGCCUUCAGAUCUCACCUUGCAGUUAACCGUCAAGGGAUUGACAACCCCUUUGUAGCGUUUGGGUGCAAGUUUGCUGUUUUUGCGCAGGUACUUUGGAGACUUGCCUUGAUACUCCUACUGCAUUGAUACCUUGGUUCUCAAACUGAGGGAAAUACUUACUGCUACUGUGCUGCAUCACCCUUUCCUCUUCAAGGGAAAAACCAACACAAGCUCAAGAGGUAGCAAUAAGAAUUUCUGGUGCCGUUGCCGGGGAGGAGGAUCAAGUCAAGAAUAGUCUCCCGUUAACGUGCCAAUUUCUGGCGCCGUUGCCGGGGAGUAUCAAGUCAAGAAUAGUCUUCCUCCAAAGUGUCAAUUUCUGGCACCGGGGACUGUUCUGAGUGAAGCUUAUCCAAGUAACUGUCACAAACUCAUCUCUUGCAUUUACUUUUUUGCCUCUCGUUUUCCUCUCCCCCACUUCUGAAAAACAAAAUUUUAAAAAAGAUUUGCCUUUUUUGUUCGCCCUUUCCUUUCGCUUGCUUUCUGCUUGCUUGUGUGGGAUAGUCUACCUGUCCUCAUGACUAGAGCCACCGCUUCAAACGAUACUCCCGAGAGCGAGGUUCUCAAUUUCAAACAAAAUGAGGGAGAACUUAAAGGAUGCUUGGUAUAGGAUUUGCAAUGCUCAGAGUAGAUCUACUCGUAAGCAAUCUACUACCGUCCUACUUUGCAGCUUUUAUGUGGGUAUUUCCCCUUGGAAUAGGUAUGUUCUUGACACCAUCAUAGGCGGAAAUUUCUUGGGUAGCCAUACGGUUGAUUCUGACGGUGCUUUAAUAAAUUUGGUAGGUUCACCCCCACUCAUGGUUAAUGGAACUACCUUAACUCUGGAACAUGUGAUGCGUAGACUGGAUAUCUUUGAAAAUAAAGUUGCUACAAUUGAACUCAUUGAGAAUUUGGAUAAAAAGAUCCAUAAUCAAAUCACUUAGUACGGAUCCAAGGUGGGAAUGACUUUGAAAAACUUAAAGGAGAGGGAACUCACCGUUAAUGAAGAACUAGGUCAUGAUUCCGCUAGGAUUGGCAAACUAGAGGAUGUUAUAACCAAUUUGGGUUCUGCUUUUGCCGCUGUGCAGAAUACUCCAAAUUUUGCCCACAAUAAGGCCACCAGUUCUGUUUUUGUUCCUAAAAAUAGUGGUGAAUCAUCUAGUAAAAGGGAUGAAGAUCUUAAGAUGAUGAGUGUUCACCCUACUUAUGGUUUGAGCACCAAAGACGACGAUACGUGAUGCUAUCGCCUUAUGCCUAGCUAAGGGAAUUAAACAAUAGCGCGUGUUGGGAAUUUAUCUUUGCUUUUUUGCUUUCUGUUUUGUUGCAUCCACACCAUCAUAAUUCUGUUAUAGUUGUGUUUUUUGUGUUUCUUCUUGUGUUUGUGCCAAGUAAAACCUUUAUGACUAGUUUUGGUGAUGGUUGAUUGAUCUUGCUGAAAAAGACAGAAACUUUUUGCUCGCAAAAUUAUUUUUCAUUUUUAUCCAGAAAUAGAUUUUGAGUUGAUUAUUUUUGCUGCUAGUUGAUAUGCAAAUUUCCCAAAUUUUCGUAAUUGUUCAGAAUUGUUGAGAUACCAGAAGUAUACGAAGUAUACAGAUUGCUAUAGACUGGUCUGUUUUUGACAGAUUCUAUUUUUGUUGUGUUGAUUUCUUAUUUUGAUGAAACUAUGGAUAGUAUCGGGGGGUACUAGCCAUGGAAAAGUGAUAAUACAGUAAUCUAACACCAAUAUAAAUAGAAAUCAAGUUUGCUACAGUACCUAAAGAGGUGGUAGUUUGUUUUCUUAUACUAAUGAUAUCACGAGUUUCUGUUUAGUUUUUGUGUUGUGAAGUUUUCAAGUUUUGGGUGAUGUUCUCAUGGACAAUGGGAUAAAGAGUGGAAAGAUCUCAAGCUUGGGGAUUCCCAAGGCAUCCCAAGCCAAAUUCAAGGACACUAAAAAGCCUAAGCUUGGGGAUGCCCCAGGAAGGCAUCCCUUCUUUCGUCUUCAAUCCAUCGGCAACGUUACUUGGAGCUAUAUUUUUAUUCACCAUAUGAUAUCUGUUUUGCUUGGAGCGUCGUGUAUUAUAGGAGUAUUUUCUUUUUGUUGUGUCACAAUCAUCCUUGUUGCACACCUUUCGAGAGAUACAUGCACUCAUCGUGAAUUUGCUAGAAUACUGAUUGAGCUUCGCUUAUAUCUUUCGAGUUAGGCAGUUUAGCUCACAUGUGCUUCACUUAUAUCUUUUUGAGCUAGAUAACUUUGCUCUAGUGCUUCACUUAGAUCUUUUUAGAGCACGGCGGUGUCAUAUUUUGGAGAAAGAAAAACUCUCAAUCUUCACUUAUAUCUUUUUGAGAGUACUCUCUUUGAGUAACUUUGUAAUUGGCUUCUGCUAUGAAAGUAGUCCUAAAGAUGAUAGGCAUCCAAAGAGGAUAUAAUAAAAACUUCCGUAUUCAUGUGCAUUGAUUAUAAAGAGAAGUUUGAUUCCUCUCAAUUAGUUUUGAGACAUGGAUAUGUUAAUAUAAGAGUCAUGUUAGUAGGGUGUUGUGAAUCUAGAAAUACUUGUGUUGAAGUUAGUGAUUCCCGUAGCAUGCACAUAUGACGAAUCGCUAUGUUAGGAAGUCGGAGCAUAAUUGAUUUAUUGAUUGUCAUCCUUUGUGUUGCGGUCGGGAUCGCGUGAUGGUUAACACCUACCAACCCUUCCCCUAGGAGUAUGCGUUUAGCACUUUGUUUUGAUUACUAAUAAAAACUUCCGCAAUAAGUAUAUGAGUUCUACAUGACUAAUGUGAGUCCAUGGUAUAGAUGCACUUUCACCUUCCAUCAUUGCUAGCCUCUCUAGUACCGCGCAACUUUUACCGGUGCACAAACCCACCAUAUACCUUCCUCAAAACAGCCACCAUACCUACCUAUUAUGGCAUUUUCAUAGCCAUUCCGAGAUAUAUUGCCAUGCAACUCCCACCGUUCCGUCUCAUGACUUGUGCCGUCACUUUCAUAUUUUCAUUGCAUGAUCGUAAGAUAGCUAGCGAGAUGUUUCAACGUCAUACGCUAAGCUAGAUCAUUGCACAUCCUGGUACACUGCCGAAGGCAUUUCCUAUAGAGUCAUCAUUGUUCUAGCAUUCAGCUGUGAGUAAAUAAAAGUGUGAUGAUCAUCAUUAUUAGAGCAUUGUCCCAUGUGAGGGAAUAAAAAAAGGCCAAAGUUUCCCACAAAAAAAUAUGUACGGAAAGAGGCCAAAGUGCCCAAACAAAAAAAUUGAAAAAAUGAGAGAAAAAGAGAGAAGGGACAAUGCUACUAUCUUUUUCCACAGUUGUGCUUCGAAAUAGCACAAUGUUCUUCAUGAUAGAAAGUCUCUUGUUUUGACACUUCCAUAUACUAGUGGGAAUCUUCAUUAUAUAACUUGGCUUGUAUAUUCCAAUGAUGGGCUUCCUCAAAAUUGCCCUAGGUCUUCAUGAGCAAGCAAGUUGGAUGCACACCCACUAGUUCCUCUUUUGAGCUUUCACAUACUUAUAGCUCUCGUGAAUCUGUUGCAUGGUAAUCCCUACUCAGUCACAUUGAUAUCUAUUGAUGGGCAUCUCCAUAGCCCUUUGAUACGCCAAGUCGAUGUGACCAUCUCCUCCUUUUUGCCUCACAACCUCCACCACACUCUAUUCCACCUAUAGUGCUAUAUACAUGGCUCACGCUCAUGUAUUGCGUGAGAGUUGAAAAAGUUUGAGAAUGUAAGAGUGCGAAAACAAUUACUUGGCCAAUACCAGGGUUGUGCAUGAUUUAAAUUCGUUGUGUGGGGAUGAUGGAGCAUAGCUAGACAUUAUGAUUUUGUGGGGAUAACUUUCUUUGGCCUUGUUAUUUUGAAAGUAUUAUUGUUUUCAUGUCAAUAGCAAACUAUUGUUUUGAUUCUCAUGGAUCCGAACAUUCAUGCCACAAGAAAGAAGUUAGAAAGGACAAAUAAGUUAGGUAGCAUUCCACAUCAAAAAUUCAGUCUUUAUCACUUCCCUACUCGAGGACGAGCAGGAGUUAAGCUUGGGGAUGCUUGAUACGUCUCCAACGUAUCUAUAAUUUUUGAUGGUUCCAUGCUAUUAUCUUGUCAUCUUUGGAUGUUUUGUAUGCAUGAAUAUGCUAUUUUAUAUAUUUUUUGGGACUAACCUAUUAAGUCAGUGCCAAGUGCCAGUUCCUGUUUUUUCCGUGUUUUUGACCUUUUUCAGAGGAGAAUAUCAAACGGAGUCCAAAAGGAAUAAAACCUCCGAAAAGAUUUUUUCUAGAACAGAAGACACGCGGGAGACUUGAGAACCAAGGCAGGGGACCUCGGAGGAGGUCACAAGCCACCCAGGCCCGGCCUAGGGGGGCGGGCCUAGCAGGCUUGUGGGCCCCCUGUGGCUCCCCUGCCCUAGUUCUUCCAUCUAUAAAUCCCCGAAAAAUAUGAAACCAUGAAAAAGAGAGCCACGAAAAUACUUUGCCAUCGCCACAAGCUUCUGUCUCCGCAAGAUCCCAUCUGGGGCACGUUCUGGUGMCCCUGCCGGAGGGGGGAUUCGGACACGGAGGGCUUCUUCAUCAACACCAUUGCCUCUCCGAUGAUGCAUGAGUAGUUCACCAUAGACCUUCGGGUUCAUUGCUAGUAGCUAGAUGGCUUCUUCUCUCUCUUGGAUAUUCAAUAGAAAGUUCUCCAUGAUCAUCAUGGAGAUCUAUCUGAUGUAAUCCUCUUUUGCGGUGUGUUUGUCGAGAUCCGAUGAAUUGUGGAUUUACGAUCAGAUUAUCUAUGAAUCUUAUUUGAGUCUCUUCUGAUCUCUUAUAGGCAUGAUUUCAUAUCCUUGUAAUUCUCUUCGAGUUGUGGGUUUCGUUUGGCCAAACUUGAUCUAAAAUUAUUGCAAGGGGAGAAGUGCUUGGUUUUGGGUUCAUACCGUGCGGUGACCUCACCCACUGACAGAAGGGGUAGCAAGGCAUGUAKCGUGUUGUUGCCAUCAGGNNNNNNNNNNNNNNNNNNNNNNNNNNNNNNNNNNNNNNNNNNNNNNNNNNNNNNNNNNNNNNNNNNNNNNNNNNNNNNNNNNNNNNNNNNNNNNNNNNNNAGCGGCCCGGGCGGCGCGGCGCGCACGGCCUCUGCUUGGGCGAGAGGAUCUGGGAGCCGGCGAGCGAGACCAUGGCUGGCUGGCGUCGGCGGGCGGAAUGAUGAUGGAGGGAGGGUGGUGUGCUGGUGGUUGGGCUGGCCGAUGUCCUACUACUGAAAUGUGUACACACACUGUCACGGAGAGACAGACGUAUACGACGCCCGUGCGCAGACACAGUUCACCCACUACGCGCGCGCGCACCGGGAACGG
rnacentral:lncRNA from 1 species